UUUUUUUUUUCUCGAACGCACUUCCUUGCGUGCAAAGAUGUAGAAGGUGGGUCCCAGCAGUCAGGGGGAAACAUUUUUUUCGCAAAAUAUGGGGGCCCGUCAGGUGGGUCCCCGCUGUCAGGUGGAGGAAUCAUUAUUUUGCGCGUAAUAAGGAGGCAUUUCCUUGUUGCGGCCGUGGACCCAGCUGGCAGCCUCUCCACGUACAAUCCACGUCCGAUGGAAGUCGUUCCUUGACCACGUUGACCACGCCGCACCGAGAGCACCACGGCGAUGGACGAUGGCGACGACUAGGAAGGGGACGACUCGGAGCCGGGGAAGACGCGGCAGUGGAUGCCCAUGCAAAGAGGAGUACGAGGGUUCACUGGUUUGGCUGCGGUGUGAGGCUGAUGUCGCCGCAGAAUAACAGGGGGUGUGGGUGAGUAGAGGGAUGGCCUGGCCAGCGGUGGGAGUAGUAGGGGGCGGUGAGGCCUCUGCGGCAUCACAGCCGGCCACGGGAGGCAGGAGCACGCGGCACGACCGACGCUGGUUUGGGCGGCUGGAGCAAGAAGACCAGAGGUUGAAGAAGCACUACAGUCGCUGGAUGAACAUCAUACGAUAACAGGAGCUAGAAUCGUUCAUAUUGACUAAGUUGACAAAGCCGUCCGUCCCAGUCAACUUGGUAGGCCCACAAGUCAGCCUCCCACUAUGCUGGGUUCUAGCUGGCAGGGGGAAUAUUCAUUUUUUUGUCCGUAAUAAGGAGGCACUUCCUUGCGUGCGAAGAUAGCUGGUGGGUCCGACAUGUCAGCGGGGGGCAUGUUAUUUUCGCGAAAUACAGAGGCCCUUCCGGUGGGUCCCAUAUGUCAGGUGGAGGAAUCAUUAUUUUGCGCGUAAUAAGGAGGCAUUUCCUUGUGUGCGGCCAUGGACCCAGCUAUCAGCCUCUCCACACACAGUCUACUUCCGAUGGUGUCGUUCGUUGACCAUGUUGGCCACGCCGCGCAGAGCGCAUCCAAGGUGGUGGACGACGGCGAGGCCCCGGAUAGCAACGAGCCGGAGAUGGGAAGACGUGGGAGUAGAGUCGCAUACGGAGAGGUGUACGAGGGUUAACUGGUUCUAGUGCGGUGUGGUUCAGCAGUCGGUGGAGAAGAACAGGAGGUGUGGAGGGGUGGAGGGAUGGCCUGGCCCAUGGUGGAGUAGCGCUUCAUAGUGAAGCAGAGUUGCUAGCAGCAGGAGGCGGGAGGUGGUCCCGACGGCACUGGAGGAAGAAGAUGAGAGAUUGAAGAUGGAUGCCGGUCGUUGGAUGUAAAUCCAACGGCUAACAUGUCAGAAUCAUUUGUGGACUAAAUUGACAACCACUUGCGUUGGCUUCGACCUAUUGGCCCACAUUUCAGCCUCCAAAAAUGUGGCACGUAUUCAACCCAUUUUUUCAGAAUUUACAGUCUUUUUUUUGCGUGGUAGAAUUUACAGUCAAUUUGAUCUUUUUUUUGAAUUACAGCCAUUAGCUGGUUGGGUGAACAAAUAAUGUAGCGUCCAUGCGGCUCAUUUAUUUUAUUUCCUAAAAAAUUACAGGCCAUUUGCACUUUCUCGAAAUACACGAUUUUGCUGGGUUGAUUCUAAUUAUAAUGUUGAAUUGAGCCAGCAAUGUUAUCAAAAAAUAAAAAGUGGUUGAGCAUUUUGUUAUAAAUAUAUUUAAAUAAUAAGUGAUAUUAUUACAUUCGUCCUUAAAUCUUACCAAGCUUUUGUACACAAUCACUAGGAUUUUCUUGCCAAAACAAUCCAGGAUUUUAUUUGUAAAGAAAUUAUUUUUAUAAGUUAAUAAGAUGUGGGAUAUUGUUUUCUUACAUAUGUAAGUAUCUGUUAAAUAUAUGAUGACAAUAAAAAUAAUAUAUAAUAACAUAUAAAAUAAUUUAUAUAUAUAUAUAAUAUAGUUAGAAGGGAAACAUAAGUUGGACCUCGUGUUCCUAUUCUUAUAUAGAAAAAUAGAACAAACCUCUGCAUUUUCUUAAAAAAAUACAUAAAUUGUGCUGCCAAAAAUAAAACCUCGGAUGGGAGGUCCAUAGUCUGGUCGAUACAUGAUGGCCCUAAGAAAAUACAAAUAGGCCUAUGGACCUCCCAUCCGAGGUCGUGGGCUGCGCAUGUUAAAAAUGAAAGCCUAGACGGGGCAGCCCAAAACCACGUCCAAUGCUUGCCAAAACUUUGUCCCUCGUUUUCUCUGUGUUUCGCACACUCGACAUUGUGUCGGCAUUUUGACUGUGCAUCAUAUGAAGAUAUGCUAUGCAUGAAUGUUGAUCAUCAUGAUGUUAACUGGCUGGUAGUUCCAUUUUCGACCAUGAAUAAAACUUCCAACAUGAUGUUCACCCUGUUUGAAAAGGCCAUGUUAAUAUAAAUGCUCUACCUCUGAAAGUUGCAGUUUCUUAUCGGAAACUGAACUUGUAGUUUCUUAUCUGAAACUGAAACUUGCAGUUUCUUCUCUGAGAAUCACAUUGUCUACACUUUUAUACUCCUAUGAAACUACAUUUUUUAAGUGCUAAAAAUAGAUCUCUAGAAUUCAUAAAAUACUUCAUAUGCUCAAUACUGCAAAUCUGAAAUUCAAAAGACAUUCAUAUCUGAAAGUACUCUCAAAAUACACAACACAACACAAUUCACAACAUGCAAAUACUGACAACCCUAAGCUCCUCCUGACAAUUCACAACCUGCCCGACUAUUGGGCUGGGGGGCAGCCCCCUCCUAUUCCUCGGCAGCAGACAGACACCCCGUGAGACGAUGUGAACGGUGAGGGAGACGAUGGCGGGGAAGCAUCGUCGGGCCAACUGCUUUUCUCCUCUUGCAGUUGGGUUCGGUCGACGAAGACUCCACCGGCUCGCUCUGGCAGGACACCCUCACAAACGGCACCCUAUAGAUGCUCGAUCCUUCAAUCUCUGGUGGAUGCUCCAUCUGGGAUUGAUACUCCCACCACCGCUCCCUCAUGAUCGGAUUCGGUGAAUCUGUUUGCUCCAUGGCCCAGAGGAGCAGCUCUAUGUAAUCCGGCACGACUCCCUCCGAGAGUAUCGCUGCCUUUUCACUCUGUUGCAGAUAUUUGGCCAUGGAUGUCGCCGUCGCCGCUAGUUAGCUGUCAAACCAAGACUGUAUCUCCAACAUCCUAGCUAGCAUCACAGGGUCGCCAUCUGCGAUCCUCACGUAUCGGUUGUACUCCUCCAUCGAUCUACUUCUCCACAGCACCUUCACUCAAUGGCGGUGGUUUUUGAAUGGAAGAGGAGAGGAGCAUCGCUGGUUUUGGAUUAGAACAGGAGAGGAGCGAUGUUGGUUUUGGACUGGAACAGGAGAGGAGGGGCGGUGGUUUUGAAAUGGAAGAGGAGAGGAGCGGAGAUGCAUUUAGAUUGGAAAAGGAGAGGAGCGGUGGUGGUUUAAGAGGAGAAGAGCGGAAGAGCGGCGCUGGUCUUGGAAGUAUUUUUUUGUUGUUUUGCGUAUUUUGGGUCAAAGUUUGACGACGAACUGUAUUUCACAAGCAAAAUGUGAAUGCAUGUCACCAAAAAUUGUAUCAUUUGGUUCGUAUCUGAAUGUACUUGCAAAUUAUAUUAUUUUUGCAACGUAUAACAUAUAUUUUAUGUGCGAAAAUCAUGGUCAAUUAUGACCCAGAAUAAAAGGGAGACUAGUUAAUGUGGGGUUGCUUUCUUAAUUGAAGGGUAAAUUGAUUUUGAUUUUGAUCCAGCCACAGCGCGCCGGCCCUCUCGUCUAAUCCUAAAUCGCUGCCGCACGCUCCUCUCCCUCUUCUCCAUUGCAAAACCACCUCCUCUCCUCUCCAUCAUCUCAAUUCCAAAACCACCGUCUCACCUCUCCCUCUUCUGAUCUUCUCCAUUGCAAAACCACCGCCUCUCCUCUCCAUCAUCUCCAUUCCAAAACCACCGUCUCGCCUCUCCCUCUUCUGAUCGUCUCCAUUGCAAAACCACCUCCUCAUGCACGUGGCCCGGAGGCGCAGUUGUCGUCAUUUUGAUCUGAAGCGCUGGAUUGUAACAUAUAACAUGAAAAAAUGCCACAUGACAAGAAAUCAUAACCUCACUGCCCAAAGGAGACAACAUGAAUCCCGACGAACAAACUAGACGAGGAACAAAGCUCAAAUUAAAGAUAAACUCGUAGAAAAGGGGUCCGUCGAUAGAUGUCCUAAUUAACAUAGCCGGCUUGACCUAGAUGGCAGCCGAGUAGCCACUGUUCGUGCAUGUGCCCCCAGUGACUAGCGCAACUCAGUUGUCGCUGUUUAACCCUCGUAGUGAUCCGAAGCACAUGACACCUAAUUUUGCGAGAUGACAAGAAACCUUUUUUAGAUUUCUCACCACAACUACAGCCAUGUUCAACACAGCAUGCACAAUAUGUAGACGAUAGCCAAUCCAGGCGUGUCGGCUAGAGUCUGGUCACAUGCAUGGACGAACUGAUCUUCCAUGUCUUGCAGGGAUCGUCCAGGCACCAACGUAGUACAACACUUCUCUAGUACUAUCGCUCGUCUCCCUCUUAUAUUUAGUCACCUGACUUGCUGGGCCGGGGAGUGUGCCUAUGGUCGGUUCUCAAUUGUCGUCCCACAUGUGUGUGCAAACGCAAUAUGACGCGCGUUCCAUUUGGAGAGCAGUGUGCCAGACCGACCGACCGUCUGGGGUGCGACGCGAACGCGACGGGCGUGCUGUAUACUCCGUACAUGUGUACCGCCGUUUUCUAGACGCUUUGCUCCAUGGCGCGGGCGCAAUCCAUGGAUACAAAAUUAGUAUAAUGUAUACUAUUUAAAAGUCGAGGGCGGGGAUUUUCCUGCGCUGUAGGCGGCGGGGCAGUUCCGCCAAGUCGGUUCGACUGAGACGCGAGAAGACGAGGGAGUAGGCUGCUGCAAACGUAGGGUUGUGUGAUUUGACAGCGAGUUACUGCUGGACAGGUGGGGCCCCGUGAUCAUGGGAGAAUGGAAAGCCACUACCCUACCGUUCGCACGCUGGCAGUUCGCUCCUACUCGUCCCUGCACGUCGUUCAAUACUACGGCGAUUCGCUCCUAGUCGUUCCAUCCAUUCACAUUACGGCAGUUCCACUAAUUCUAACCCUCCUCCCAAAUCCAUGGCGUCCCAAAUCUCCACGAUCGGCGGUGAGUACAAGGUUAGAACCAUCACCGGCGAUGAGUUCGACGUCAUCUACACCCGUUCUUCCGCGAUGGUGAAAGGAUGCCUUUCUUGCUUCAGACGCAUGUUCGAAGACUCAGAUAAUGAGUUGGUCGUUGGGCUAGAUAUUGAGUACACCACAGUCCUGGGACCAGAGAAGGAUCUAAAGGACGAAGAGAGGAAGAAGCCCGCCGUGAUCCAGGUUUGCGUGCAUGCCUUAUGCUUGGUCUACCUGUAACAUCCCAAAUUUUCAAUUUGGAAUGUUAUACACUAGAUCAUCAUUGCAUAUCAUAUUUCAUCACAUUUUGGUUGAUCCUAGAAAUUCUAAGGAACUCAAGGACCCUCGGAGAGAGUUGGGGAUUUCGUUAUAUUCAUAUUUGAGUUUUCUCAAAUUUUGAAAAUAGGAUCAUUUGAUUUUAUUUAUUUCAUCUUCAAUUAUUUCUAUUAUAAAAAUUAUGAGAGAGGGAAUAAAAAGACUUUCCCAAAAUAAAGAAAUAUUGAGGGAUUAAAUAAAAAAUCAAAUAAGAUUUUAUUUUGGUUUUAUUUGCUUUUUUUGAAUUUAGGAAAAAUUGCACAUUUUCAAAAAUUGCAUUUAGAGCCAAGAAAAUGUUCAUCCUGUUUUAAAUAUUAGUUAGACAGAGAAAAUUAGUUUUGGCAUUUUUUAGAUUUUUUAUUAUAUUUUUUCUAGAAUUUUCUUAGUUGCAGCAAUAUUGUUUAAAAAAACGAGACCCCGGGCCUGACUAGGCCAAGGGCCUAGCCGAGCAGGACGGCCCAGCCGCCGCCGCCGCCUCUCGCCGGGUCGGGAUAGGAGUCCCGACCAGCGCCGCCGCCGCCCGAGUCCGAGGAGGACUCCGCCUCCCGAGGCCGACCCCUCCCCAAGUCGCCUCUCCCCGCCCCUUUAUAACCGCCGCCCCCCUGCAGCCCACACCGCCACCGCCACCCCACGCCUCCAGCGCCGCCGCCGCGCUGCAGUGCCACCCCACUGCCCCGUCGGACCACCACCCCGCCGCUCCGCACCACCCGCCGCCCGCUGGAGCCCCGCCGGAGCCUUGCCGGAGCCCCGAGCCGAGGUAGCCGCCGCCCGGUUUUUGAGAAAAAAAAAUUUCGUUUUUUUUGAAAACCCUAGUUUUCGUUUUUUAAAUAGAUCGAUUUUUCUCCUGUUUAUUUAUUUAGCGAGCGUUCGCUCGUCCAUUCAUUUUAACGAACACAUUCAUCGUUUAGUUCCUGUUAACGAACGUUCGUUAACCUGUUCGUCAUAUUUCUUUUUCUCGGAUUAAAUCUGCAGUUUUUCUGACCGCGAUUUCUGAUCCGAUGUUCGUUUUAGUUUAACUUUUCGCUCAUUUGUCGGAAUCAGGCGAUUCAAGCGCCUGGAGUUUCGUCUCGAAACCCUCUUUCCAUUUAACCAACUCAAACAAGUUUUUGCCUCAGUAAACUUUGCCCUAGUUUCAGAUUAGUAAACGAAGCUUAGUUCUUUUGCCGUUUGUCUUUCAUUGUCCGGUUUGAUUCUUUUUGCCAACCGGAGUUCUUAAGAUGAACUUUCUGGUUAGAUCUUUUAUUCGAGUUUUACCUGUACAUUAGUUGAGUACUUAUUGUAUGCUUCUUUGUUUGCGAUAGAGUACCCGGAGUGUGCCGCUUGCUACUUUGAAUCGCUAGGUUUCAUGGAUCAUCAGCAAGGCAAGUAACACUUUGAUCAUACCUUCCUAUUACCCAGUUUUAUUGCAUUAGAUCAAUCCUCACACAUUGCAUGAUUGGGAUCUAAUUAAAUUGUGGGUUUGGGAAGUAGAUGAGGUAGUACCUAUUACCUGUUAUUAUCAAACCUUUGGGAGUUACUUCUACGUUUGGUUAUUAUGCUAUGCUAUGCUAGUAGACGUGGAUUGGGUGAGUGAAAUCCAUGACAGAUGUGAGAUUGUUAAAUCAAUGGUUUAUCUAAGGUGGCAACUUAAAUACACAUCUGGGUGGAUUGAGGCACCUGGGUAUUCCAGCGAUUGCCUAUUUUUCUUUUGGACUGCCACCCAGGCUCAAAGGGAUCAUGAGAUUAUUCAUACUGGAAACUUCUGUGUGCAGCCACAAGCUACUAUGGGCUCUAGCAUAGUUGACUAAGUUGUGCUAACUCUUAUAGUGGUAGACUAGCAGAUGUAGGGGAUGUAGGUUGGUACGGUCUACCCGUUCGUAAGGUUCUAGCGCUUCUGAAAGACUAUGUCUCGGUCAUCCGUUUCUCAAACACCAUGUAGUGCGAGAUUCCCAACGGAGGAGAUCAAGUCUUGUGGGGAAAAGUGCACAAACCUCUGCAGAGUGUGUAAACUAAUCAUGGUUAGCCGUGUCCCCGGUUAUGGACAUCUUGAGUAUCUAGUACCUGGAUUAUCAUGUGAAUCUCAUUAUGUUACUCUAUAUUAAUUUUGUUGGGUUUUAAUGAUGAUGCUUAAUUGGGAUUGAGAGCGUGUCUAUACUCUCAAUGUUUAACAACUACCAUGAUAGUUAAAAAAAAUUAUUUCUUUGUAGUAGGGAAAAAUUGGCUUUACGCAAAACUGUAACCAUAGAGCUUUCCACCAGCCAAAUAUGCAUAUAGUAUAGCCUAUAUCUUUUAUUGCUCUCUAUGUGUUACAUUGCCAGCAUAUUCCAUGCGCUGACCCAUUUCGGGCUGCAACGUUAAUGUUGCAGACUUUGCAGACGACGAGUAAGGUGCUUUUAGGUCGUGGUUCUAUACUCAGUGAUGCCGUUCGAGUUGAUGGACUCACUUAUCUUCCAAGCCUUCCGUUGUUAUCGUUAUUAGAUGGCCUUAAGCCAUAUUUAUGGUAAUAAGUUCUCUUUUGAGACACUCGAUGUAAUAAGUGUGUGAUUGCUACUCUGUUAUAAAUCCUUCAAGUACUGUGUGGUGUCAGCGUUACUGAUCCAGGGAUGACACCUGAGCACAGAGAUUGGAUCGUUUGAGGUCUAGUCGCUACAAGAUGGUAUCAGAGCACACGCUGACUGUAGGACACGACCACUAAGCUAAAGCCCUAUGUCACUACUCACUCUUCUCAUUCUGACUCCUCAUCUUUUCUACUCUUUUUAAGAUGGCGGAACAAGUUCACGCAACCGGAUGAAGAUACACCCUUUGGAAGUCAUUUGAAGGAAGUCACAAGAUACCUGAACAUAGGAGUACCAAGCUUCACCGGGACUUACAACACCACUUUACCCGAGGAAGAGCAUUGGAUGAUUCAAGUUCAAGUUCCAGGAAGGACGUUCAUGCCAGUCACUCAGCCCAUAGAGUUUUCUUUUGAUGCACCAACCUGGAGUCUAGGAAAGAGCAUGGCAGCUCACAUCACCAUGGGAUGCAUUGGAGAAGUUUACCGCAAUGAUCUCAAGGAUACUAUCUAACAGACUUGUGGAUGCCGAGAUGAGAAAUGGGAGAUGAUCAUCACCAAGAAGGAUAGAUCAAUUGCAACUUUUAUCCAGGAGUUAAAGCAGCACAUUCGACGUCAGGAGAACCAGAUGUGCGCCGACAUGAUAGAUCUAAAGAAGGCAAGGACAAGAAUCAAGGAACUAGAGGAAGAACUCAAGGCUACAUGUGAAGAUUAUGAAGAAGAAAUUGAAGUAUUAGUGGAGAAGAAUGACGAUCUGAUCAAGAAGAUUGGAAUAUUCAUGGGAGACCCUACACCAGUAGAAGAAGACGAAGAACCCAAGGAGAUUUGCCCGGAAUACUACAUCAAAUCGACGACACCGACUCGGAUCUAGAUGAUAGCGAUGAUGACUAUGUUGAUGAAGCUGGAGCAGAUAUCAUGGAGUCUACAACCAAAGAAUAUUUCUAGUAGACCACCCCAACAUUAGUAGUAGUCCACCAUGUAAAUAUAGUAGUUUGAGCACUUUUGCAAUAGUUAGAUCGAUUGUAUGCCCUUGCUUGAUUGAAUGAAGUGAAUUAUUUGUUUUUGCGUCAUAUGCAUAUGGGUAGUGUUUUCUCUCUAGACCCCUCUCUAUUCUUAAAUCUCAUAUUUUCUAAACCCUCAGAUGCCUCCGAGACGUGACCCUGGAUUUACCUUCCCACCGGAGCUCACCCAGUUCAUCCAGCAGUAGAACACAUUGAUGAAGUUGCUAGUCCAGAAUCAGAAUCAGGGAACAACAACAACAACAACAACCCACCACCACUACCACCUGUUGACCACUUAGCCCGUUUUCUUAGGCUGAAUCCGCCGGUGUUUUCCAGUAGCACCGAACCGAUAGUAGCAGAUGAUUGGCUCCGCAAGACAGCAAGGGAGUUGACCACGACAUGAUGCAUAGAUGCAUAAAAGGUGAAGUUUGUCGCACAUCAACUUGAAGGACCCGCAACAUCAUGGUGGGAGAAUUUCACAGCCACUUUCCCUGUCGACACUGUCAUAUGGGACCAGUUCCAGCAGGCUUUCCGUACUGCCCAUGUUUCAGCAGGAGCUAUGGCCAUGAAGAAGCGAGAAUUUCGCAACUUGCGCCAAGGAGGAUGGACAGUUGGCCAGUAUGUGGAGGAUUUUAGUAAGCUAGCCUGUUAUGCCCCAGAUGAUGUUGCUACGGAUGCAGCUAAGCAGGAGAAGUUUCUGGAAGGAUUGAAUGAUGAGUUGAGCAUGCAGUUGAUGGUAGCAACCUUCAACAACUACCAGGAGUUGGUAGAUCGUGCUCUUAUGAUUGAAGGGAAGCAGCAACAGAUUGAGAACCGCAAGAGGAAGUAUGGACAAGGGAACUACAAUUCUUGAGCUCAGCAGAAGCCACGAUUUACCUCUAGGCCGGGAGGACAUUUUCAGCAUACCCAUGGAGGAGGUAGCUCGCACAAUCACAAUGGCACCAAGAAUGGGAAUGGGAAUGGAGGAAGUAACGGCCAGAAUCGCACCAACCCAUCAACCCCAGCCAAGAGAGACCUGAGCCAAGUCACUUGUUUCAAGUGCCAGAAGACCGGACAUUACGCUAAUGAAUGUCCUGAAGCCCAGAAUGGAAAUGGCAAUGGAAGCUCUAGGAAGAAGCCGAACCCUUUCAAUAGGGGACAGGUGAACCACGUAAAUGUGGAGGACGUUGAAGCCCAGCCCGAUGCAGUAAUAGGUAAGUUUUUGGUUAAGUCAUUUACUGCACUCGUUCUUUUUGAUACUGGUGCAUCACAUUCAUACAUAUCAAGGGGAUUUGUGGAUAAGUAUAAAGUGCCAACCCAAGCCCUUAGGUCACCCAUGUUAGUAACCUCGCCUGGAGCAGAAUAUAUGGCCAACCUAUGGUGUGAUCAGUUACCAUUAAGGAUUGGUAACUAUGUUUUUCCCUCGGGUCUAAUUGUAUUGGAAUCUCAAGGAUUGGAUGUGAUAUUAGGCAUGGAUUGGUUAUCGAAGUAUGAAGGGAAUACUGAAUGCGCUAGUAAGUCAAUUUUGCUUACAAUGCCAGAAGGGAGAAGGAUCAAGUAUGUAUCCCAGCAUGUGCCGAAAAGGACUCAAGUAAAUUGCUUAACAGGAGUUGUGCAGGAGGAAGUACCAGUGGUGAAAGAUUUCCCUGAUGUAUUUCCAAAAGAAUUGCCAGGCAUGACACCGGAUAGAGGUAUUGAGUUUUUGAUUGAACUUUUGCCAGGCACAAGGCCAAUAUCUAAGAGACCAUAUAGGAUGCACGCAAAGCAUUUGGUGGAGAUUAAGAAGCAGAUCAAGGAGUUACUAGAUAAGGGAUAUAUCCGCCCAAGUUCUUCACCUUGGGGAUCACCAGUACUUCUAGUGGAGAAGAAGGAUGGAUCAUUAAGGAUGGUUUUUGAUUAUCGAGGAUUGAAUGAAGUAACCAUCAAGAACAAGUACCCACUACCGAUGAUCAAUGAUCUGUUUGAUCGACUGCAAGGAGCUAACGUAUUUUCCAAGAUCGAUCUGCAAUCAGGGUACCAUCAGUUGAAGAUUCGAGAACAGGAUAUACCCAAGACAAGUUUUACCACCGGGUAUGGGCUGUACGAGUAUAAUGUUAUGUCAUUUGGUAUGACUAUAGCACCUACUUAUUUUAUGAACAUGAUGAACAAAGUGUUUAUGGAGUUUCUGGAUAAGUUCGUCGUAGUGUUCAUUGAUGAUAUCCUAGUUUACUCGAAGAAUGAAGAGGAGCAUAAGGAGAAUUUGCGUUUGGUACUUGGAAUGCUCAGAGAACAUCAGUUAUAUGCCAAGUUUAGCAAAUGUGAGUUUUGGUUGAAGGAAGUUGGAUUCCUCGGACACGUUAUAUCUGGAGAAGGUAUAGCAGUAGAUCCCACCAAGGUUGACACUGUGACAAAUUGGGAAGCGCCAACAACAGUUGGAGAGAUCCGGAGUUUUCUUGGACUUGCAGGAUACUACCGGAGAUUCAUUGAAAAUUUCUCGAAGAUUGCAAAACCUAUGACGGAGUUGUUGAAGAAGGAUACAAAGUUCAUAUGGACCGAGGAAUGUGAGGCCAGUUUCCAGGAGUUGAAGAAACGUUUGGUUACAUCACCAGUGUUGAUUUUGCCAGAUCAGACCAAGGAUUAUGAGGUGUAUUGCGACGCUUCACGUCGAGGACUUGGAGCAGUGCUUAUGCAGGAAGGAAGAUUUGUUUCCUAUGCCUCACGAGAACUUAAGCCUCAUGAGUUGAAUUAUGCUAAGCAUGAUUUGGAGUUAGCAGCCGUAGUGCAUGCAUUGAAGACUUGGAGACACUUUCUCAUUGGAAACCAUUCUGAGGUGUACAUGGAUCACAAGAGUUUGAAGUAUAUUUUCACGCAGAAGGAGUUGAAUCUCAGGCAAAGGAGAUGGUUGGAGCUCAUCAAGGAUUAUGACAUGAGAUUGGAUUAUCACCCCGGAAAGGCUAAUGUAGUAGCUGACGCGUUGAGCCGUAAAAGUCAUGUCAACACCUUAAUGACGGGAGAUUUACCAAGGGAGUUAGCCGAAAAUCUUCCUGAGCUAUGUUUGGAAAUAGUUCCAAGAGGCUAUGUAGCCGCAUUGGAGAUUCAGUCUACUUUGAUGGAUAAGAUCAAAGAAGCCCAGAAGACUGACAAGGAGAUUGCCUCUAUUAAGGAGAAAAUGAGCAAAGGAAAAGCUAAAGGAUUUCGUGAGGAUGAGCACGAUACCUUAUGGUUUGAAGACCGUGUUUAUGUGCCUAAUGAUCCGGAGAUCGGGAAGUUAAUUCUGCAAGAGGCCCAUGAUUCACCCUAUUCGAUUCACCUAGGAAAUACUAAGAUGUAUCUGGAUCUGAAGGAUAUUUUCUGGUGGACCGGAAUGAAGAAGGAUAUUGCGGAGUAUGUAGCAGUUUGCGAUGUAUGUCAGAGAGUAAAGGCAGAGCAUCAGAAGCCAGCAAGAUUGCUACAGCCAUUGCCGAUACCCGAAUGGAAGUGGGAUAAGUUAGACAUGGAUUUUAUUAUGGGUUUACCCAGAACUCGUUCAGGAUGUUACUCGAUUUGGGUUGUAGUCGAUCGUUUGACAAAGGUAGUUCAUUUCAUUCCAGUAAAGACUACCUAUACCAGUGCAAAGUUGGCAAAGAUAUACAUGACCAGGAUUGUAUGUCUGCAUGGAGUUCCAACGAGCAUUGUGACAGAUAGAGGAACCUAGUUUACCUCAAAGUUCUGGAAUCAGUUGCACGAAACUUUGGGUACUAGGCUGGAGUUCAGUACAGCUUUUGAUCCGCAGACAGAUGGACAAACCGAGAGAGUCAAUCAGAUUUUGGAGGAUAUGCUGGGAGCUUGUGCGCUAGAUUACGAAUCUAGUUGGGACGAGAAUUUGCCAUACGCAGAGUUCUCCUAUAACAACAACUAUCAAUCCAGUUUGAAGAUGGCCCCUUUCAAAGCUUUCUACGGAAGGAGGUGCAGGACCCCGUUGUCAUGGGAUGAAGUUGGAGACCGUCAGUUGUUUGGACCGGAUCUGAUUAAGUAGUCUGAACAGAAAGUAAAAUUGAUUCGCGAUAGACUCAAGGUAGCCCAGUCCAGACAAAAGAGCUAUGCAGAUUGAAAACGCAAGGAGACAGUUUACGAAGUCAGAGACCGAGUUUACCUUCGAGUAUCUCCCCUUCGAGGAGUUAAGCGCUUUGGAGUUAAGGUAAAAUUAGCGCCACCUUUUAUAGGACCAUACAAAGUUUUGGAGCGUAUGGGAGAAGUAGCCUACAAGUUGGAAUUGCCCGAAGGAUUGUCAGGAGUUCAUGACGUGUUCCAUGUUUCCCAGUUGAAGAAGUGCCACGCAGAGAUGGCUGAUAUACCGCUGAGAGAUGCCACUGGAAGCAAUUCAGUUGGACAGUGAUUUGACCUAUGAGGAGAAACCAGUCAAGAUUCUUGAGUAUGCCAGCCGAGUCACCCGCAGCAAAGUUAUCAAGUUUUGCAGGGAUCAGUGGAGCCACCACACGGAAGAUGAAGCCACCUGGGAAUGCGAGGAAGAUUUGCUGAAGGACCACCCUCACCUAUUUUCUAGCCAACUCGAAUCUCGAGGGAGAGAUUCAUCUUAAGGGGGGGGGUAGGUUUGUAACAUCCCAAAUUUUCAAUUUGGAAUGUUAUACACUAGAUCAUCAUUUAGAUAUAUUAAAACUGAGCACCCUCCCAGCCCUCUCAGGCCAUCAACAUUUCUAAGCGUUAGAUCGCCACUUUUAAUCGUUUUUGGCUGUCGGAUUCACUGUUUUAUUCCACGUUUCUCGCUAUGUGGGCUAGGCAGCUACUCCGGUGGAAAUUUCUGAGCACUCUGGUUCAUUGGGCCUAGCCGCCCCACAAAGCCCAAGAAGAAAUUUACAUGACAGAAAAGGGCGAGCGACUACUCUCGAGAAACCUAGGUACGCCGCUGCCGCUACCGUCCACGCUACCCCUCCCGUCACGCGCCCUCACGCCACCUUGCCGUCGGCCUCCGCCCCUCCUAUUCUCUCUCCCAAAGCCACCGAUCUUGUCUCCCACCCUCUCCUCCUACCUCAUCAGAAGAGAAGAGAAAAGAAGAGGGAGAUCGACCAGGUCAGGCGCCGACCAUGGCGGCGGCUAGAUCCGCCAUAGCCGCAACCACCUCGCCAAGGAUCGGGAUCUUGGCCACCACGGAGAUCGCGACCAACGACCAGUCCGUCCUGCGUCACCGUCACCGAUGUCGUGGCUGAUCAGCGACGCGACCAUGAACCAGGUCGCCAUGAACCCCGUCGGCACUGUUUUCGGUGAGAACUGCCAACUGACUAUCACUUGCUAAUUUCCCCUUUUUUGUUUUGUUUAGGGACAGUCUUUGUUUUGCAUGGUAAGGGCAGUCCUUCUGUUAGUUAAUCAAGUUUCUCAGGUUCAUGGGUUGGUGUCACGGCGUUUUGUGCUUGUGUUGCAUAUAUAUUUAUCAUAGUAGUAUCGACAAUGUAGACAUGCCCAGAGCCUUGCAUCCUUGCCAUAUCAUUCUUCAGUUGUCAAAUGCUCAGUCGGCUAUUCAGAUUCCUGCAUCUUUUUUUCCGGUUUUUUCCCCAUAUAGAUCUAUGUAUUAUGGUGAAUCCUUCAAUCCAAGAUGCCAUAAAGACAAUAUAGAAGUUUGGGAUUAAUUCUUGGCUGAAACAUAUAAAAAAUACAAAUAUGUACGAGUUGUUGGAUGGAGGGUUGGCCAGAAUUCCUCUAGCAGUCAACACAGGAGAACCAGGAUAGUGGCGGUGGAGCCUCCAGCGUCAGGGCACCGUUGUCGUUGUUCCCGCUCCAUAGACCACCAACUGGAUUCAUCGCUGCCUGGAUGAAAGCAAGGGAACCCAUCCCGAUUCGUCCGAUGUGUUCAAGAAAUCAACAGUGCUGUCGUACAUGACAGGCUGAUUAACAGGGUCAGCGGAUAAACACCCAUCUUGUUAAAAGUAACAUAAUGUUCUGUUGGUACAUAUUUGUGUAUAUGAUGAGAGAUGAAAAAUCUGAGUUGUCAUGCUUGUGCAUUAGCAUGGUUCAGGAGUUUUAGCUGGUGCUUUUCAAGAUCAAUAAGACAGAGUGUUUGUUUGCUGAUCCAUUAAGUCUGUAAUGCACGUGUGUACAGGAAUUUUCUGUUUGUAUUGUACAAUGAAAAUGUCUUUUUGUUUUUUUCGUUCUAAUGUAAUUACAAUGGAGUCACUCCCGCUCUUGUUUUUGGCAUAUUACUGGGACCCUGGAGAUAUAAAACACAUUGUUUACCAUUCUGUAGGAACCAUAAGCAAUAUAUGGCAAAGACAUCUUCAUAAUUGUAGAAUCAUGCACACUUUUUGGGUACACACGUACAUAUAUCGUAAUAUGUAAUACUAACAAACAGAUGAUUUAACAAGCCAGAUCUACUUGAGAAAAUGUACCCACCACUUUUUUGGGACAUUUAAUUGCCCAUAGAAUGUGCCGGCUUUGAUAGCCGGGACAGGAAGGGACAUUAUCUGUCUUGUUAGAAGUCUUGAUCGUAUAUACUAAGGUCAUAGGACUCCACAUGCUACCAGUUUCUUAUGAAAAACAAUCUUAUUGAUCCCCACCUACGUCGACUCACAUCCAAACCAUUGGCAUCCAGUUACCUCUUAUAUACAACCUCCACCUGAGCCUAGGACUGAUUACUUAGACCAGUAUUACCCUUUUAUUGGAUAUAUAAAUAUGUGUGCAUAGGCGAAUCAUUGAUAUGGGAAUGAUGUCGAUACUUGGUACACAAUAUGAUCUCUGUUGAUACGAUAGUGCAUUUCCCUCAACAUUUUCCCUGUUAUUACUGGUCUUUGAUCACACAAAAUAGAAUGGAAUUCUUGGAUUUGAAGAAAUUUCCCUUGCAUCUCCUGGCAAGAAAAUUGACUAUACAUUUAGAAAACAAUCAUGGUAUUUGCAUGGAUAGUUUACCUUUAAAUAUGGCAGUAGAUUACAAAAAUUCUACUAUGAAAAUGACACAUAAUAGAAAAGUCUGCACCAUACAGUGUCACUUAUACCUUGCAUCUCCCAUAUGAUAAUUUGUAGUAUGAAUUUCUGCUUAGAGUGAUUAUAUGGACCUAGAAGAAAUGUACAACCAAUGGCACAUUUUUGUAGAAGGUUAUAAAUUUGGAAAUAAAGUGUAGCGCCCGCUUUACUUCUUCCAUUUAAAUUAUAGCUUUUGAUCUUGUCAUCUUUACAUGUUGUUUAACAUCCUAUUCAGCUUGACUUUGAUUCAAAGUGCACGAACCUGAAUGCAUGCAUCAUUUUGACUAGAAGGCAUUUCUUUUUUCGUUCUUUGGGAUCAGCAAACAUCAUUGUGUAAUUCAAUACCUGAAUGGUUUUGGGCGACUUUAUAAUUUAGUAAACAAUGCUAACACCACACUUAAUUGAAAUAUUUUGUGUGUUUCUUGUGCUCACCUUGCAAGACCUUAAAAACAAGAUGACAAAGAAUUUGGUAUACAUUUCCUAAUUAAAUGUUAGUCUUAUAUUGCAAUUUAUAUUAUUAUCAAUGAUUGUUUGAUGAAUUAAAUUUAUGUGUUAUAUUAUCAAUGAUUUUUGAUCAAACAUAUAUUACCUUUUCUAACAUAGUAAAGCUAUGUUUAGAAGUAUCCACUAAUUAACUUGUGAGGAGAUCAAAAUCAUGCUUACUCAAUAUCAUAAAUAAUGAAUGAACAUGUACAAUAAUUAGUUGGCUACCUUCUUUUAGUUUGAGGGGUUCAUGAUUUGGAUAGUGUUUAUCGAUGCUGGUUUAAAUCAGUGUCAAUUAAUUUGGAUUGGAGGGAGUAUCAUGUUUUGUUGUGUCAUAUAUAUUAUUGAAACCCCUACCACUCUAUUGAUAAAAUGGACGGGCGCGGCAACGCGCGCCAUCAAUGAGCUAGUUGCAUAUCAUAUUUCAUCGCAUUUUGGUUGAUCCUAGAAAAUCUACGCAACUCAAGGACCCUCGGAGAGAGUUGGGGAUUUCGUUAUUUUCAUAUUUGAGUUUUCUCAAAUUUUGAAAAUAGGAUCAUUUGAUUUUAUUUAUUUCAUCUUCAAUUAUUUCUAUUAUAAAAAUUAUGAGAGAGGGAAUAAAAUGACUUUCCCAAAAUAAAGAAAUAUUGAGGGUUUAAAUAAAAAAAUCAAAUAAGAUUUUAUUUUGGUUUUAUUUGCUAUUUUUUUGAAUUUAGGAAAAGUUGCACAUGUUCAAAAAUUGCAUUUAGAGCCAAGAAAAUGUUCAUCCUGUUCUAAAUAUUUUAUUUAGACGGAGAAAAAUUGUUUUGGCAUUUUUUAGAUUUUUUAGUUUAUUCUUUCUAGAAUUUGUUUUAGUUGCAGCGAUAUUGUUAAAAAAACGAGACCCCGCGCCCGACUGGGCCAAGGGCCCAGCCGAGCAGGCCGGCUGGCCGCCGCCGCCGCCUCUCGCCGGGUCGAGACAGGAGUCCCGACCAGCGCCGCCGUCGCCCGAGUCCGGGGAGGACUCCGCCUCCCGAGGCCGACCCCUCCCCCAAGUCGCUUCUCCCCACCCCCUUUAUGACCGCCGUCGCCCCCCUGUAGCCCACACCACGCCUCCAGCGCCGCCACCGCACGCCGCCUGCAGCCACCNNNNNNNNNNNNNNNNNNNNNNNNNNNNNNNNNNNNNNNNNNNNNNNNNNNNNNNNNNNNNNNNNNNNNNNNNNNNNNNNNNNNNNNNNNNNNNNNNNNNNNNNNNNNNNNNNNNNNNNNNNNNNNNNNNNNNNNNNNNNNNNNNNNNNNNNNNNNNNNNNNNNNNNNNNNNNNNNNNNNNNNNNNNNNNNNNNNNNNNNNNNNNNNNNNNNNNNNNNNNNNNNNNNNNNNNNNNNNNNNNNNNNNNNNNNNNNNNNNNNNNNNNNNNNNNNNNNNNNNNNNNNNNNNNNNNNNNNNNNNNNNNNNNNNNNNNNNNNNNNNNNNNNNNNNNNNNNNNNNNNNNNNNNNNNNNNNNNNNNNNNNNNNNNNNNNNNNNNNNNNNNNNNNNNNNNNNNNNNNNNNNNNNNNNNNNNNNNNNNNNNNNNNNNNNNNNNNNNNNNNNNNNNNNNNNNNNNNNNNNNNNNNNNNNNNNNNNNNNNNNNNNNNNNNNNNNNNNNNNNNNNNNNNNNNNNNNNNNNNNNNNNNNNNNNNNNNNNNNCGUCGGAGCCGCCGCCUCGCACCACCCGCCGCCCGUCGGAGCCCCGAGCCGAGGUAGCCGCUGCCCGGUUUUUGAGAAAAAAAAGUUGUUUCGUUUUUUUUAAACCCUAGUUUUUGUUUUUUUUAAGUAGAUCGGUUUUUCUCCGGUUUAUUUAUUUAGCGAGCGUUCGCUCGUCCGUUCGUUUUAACGAACGCGUUCAUCGUUUAGUUCCUGUUAACAAACGUUCAUUCAUUAACCUGUUCGUCGUAUUUCUUUUUCUCGGAUUAAAUCCACAAAUUUUCUGAUCGCGAUUUCUGAUCGGAUGUUCGUUUUAGUUUAACUUUUAGCUCAUUUGUCGGAAUCAGGCGAUUCAAGCGCCUGGAGUUUCGUCACGAAACCCUCUUUCCGUUUAACCAACUCAAACAAGUUUUUGCCUCAGUAAACUUUGCCCUAGUUUCAGAUUAGUAAACAAAGCUUAGUUCUUUUGCCGUUUGUCUUUCGUUGUUUCGUUCGGUUUGAUUAUUUUGCCAACCGGAGUUCUUAAGUCGAACUUUCUGGUUAGAUCUUUUAUUCGACUUUUACCUGUACAUUAUUUGGGUACUUAUUGUACGCUUGUUUGUUUGCGAUAGAGUACCCGGAGUGCGCCGCUUGCUACUUCGAAUCGCUAGGUUUCAUGAAUCAUCAACAAGGCAAGUAACACUUUGAUCAUACCUUCCUAUUACCCAGUUUAUUGCAUUAGAUCAAUCCUCACACAUUGCAUGAUUAGGAUCUAAUUAAAUUGUGGGUUUGGGAAGUAGAUGAGGUAGUACCUAUUACCUGUUAUUAUCAAACCUUUGGGAGUUACUUCUACGUUUGCUUAUUAUGCUAUGCUAUGCUAGUAGACGUGGAUUGGGUGAGUGAAAUCCAUGACAUAUGUGAGACUGUUAAAUCAAUGGUUUAUCUAAGGUGGCAACUUAAAUACACAUCUGGGUGGAUUGAGGCACCUGGGUAUUCCAGUGAUUGCCUGUUUUUCUUUUGGACCGCCACCCAGGCUCAAAGGGAUCAUGAGAUUAUUCAUACUGGAAACUUCUGUGUGCAGCCACAAGCUACUAUGGGCUCUAGCAUAGUUGACUAAGUCAUGCGAACUCUUAUAGUGGUAGACUAGCAGAUGUAGGUGAUGUAGGUUGGUACGGUCUACCCGUUCGUAAGGUGCUAGCACUUCUGAAAAGACUAUGUCUCGGUCAUCCGUUUCUCAAACACCAUGGAGUGCGAGAUUCCCAACGGAGGAGAUCGAGUCUUGUGGGGAAAAGUGCACAAACCUCUGCAGAGUGUGUAAACUAAUCAUGGUUAGCCGUGUCCCCGGUUAUGGACAUCUUGAGUAUCUAUUACCUGGAUUAUCAUGUGAAUCUCAUCACGUUACUCUAAAUUAAUUUUGUUGGGUUUUAAUGAUGAUGCUUAAUUGGGAUUGAGAGCGUGUCUACACUCUCAAUGUUUAACAACUACCAUGAUAGUUAAAUAAAAUUUAUUUCUUUGUAGUAGGGAAAAAUUGGCUUUACGCAAAACUAUAACCAUAGAGCUUUCCACCAGCCAAAUUUGCAUAUAGUAUAGCCUAUAUCUUUUAUUGCUCUCUAUGUGUUACAUUGCCAGCAUAUUCCAUGUGCUGACCCAUUUCGGGCUGCAACGUUAAUGUUGCAGACUUUUCAAACGACAAGUAAGGUGCUUUUAGGUCGUGGUUCUAUACUCAGUGAUGCCGUUGGAGUUGAUGGACUCACUUAUCUUCCAAGCCUUCCGCUGUUAUCGUUAUUAGAUGGCCUCAAGCCAUAUUUAUGGUAAUAAGUUCUCUUUUGAGACACUCAAUGUAAUAAGUGUGUGAUUGCUACUCUGUUAUAAAUCCUUCAAGUACUAUGUGGUGUCAGCAUUACUGAUCCAGGGAUGACACCUGAGCACAGAGAUUGGACCGUUUGAGGUCUGGUCGCUACACUACCACAUAUGCCAUGCCGACGUUGAGUGUCAGGAUUUUAAGGACUUCCUCCAGAGCAACCUAGUCAAAUUCGUUACUGUAGACUUUGGUAACGACAAAGAAGUCCUGCGUUGGAUAGGCCUCAUUGUAGGCAACACCUUCGACCUCCAGAAGAAUUGGCUGGUGUCCUCUCGUCAGCCUUCAAUGUUGACCCUGGCAGGAGCCAUGGUUCAUCCUUCAUACGGUAAAUUGGAGAAACCUCCAUACACAUUUCAUCGUCAUGCAUGGCAGCGGAAUGUACUAGAUAUAGACCACAUCCACUACGCUGCAAUGGAUGGCUACCUUUGCUUCAAUAUCUACAAGGGUUGGAUGAAGAGCAACAACCAAGUGUGUGGUUCAAGCAAAGAAGUAUCGGCGAAGAGGAAGAGGGACAAGGACGAAGUCGAGGACGUGGACAAGGACUCCGAGUAAGGUGGCAGUGUCAUUCCUCAUGGUGGUUCUAAUGCAGUGUCUACCAGAAUAGUUGCAAAGUUUAAUUUCAGGUGUGCUUAAUUUAAUUUGAAGGGUGUGUUGUGCUGAGCCCCCAGCACAACUAUGUUAUGUUUCUUCUCGAUUCUUUAACUCUUCAGUACGUACAUACUAGUAUUUCUUACAUUUCAUAUUUUAGUUGGUAUAGUACUACCACUUGUUUCUUCACAUUAUAUACGUAAAAUAUAUAUGGUCAACAUCAUAUAGCCAGCAGUUUAGUUGUCAAAGAAUUUCAGGGUGCUUAGUUUUGUCAAAGAAUUCCAGGAUGCUUAGAGGGUGCUUGGAUCCAAGGGACUUAUUUUAGUCUGACUAAAAAUAGUCUCUUCAAGAGGCUAAUGUUCCAAGCACCCCUGACUAAAGAGGGGCUAAAACUAGUCUUGAGACUAAAAAAUUUUAGUCAGGGGUACCCCUACUAAAAUAUGGAUUAGUCCUCUCUCUACUCAUUUAACUCCUCUCCUUUAACACAUGCGAGUUCUGGAUUGGAGGGUUUGGAGGAUAAUAAAUGCUCAUUAACUUGAUUUUAGCCUUUUUAGUAUUUGGAUCCAAGCAUGGGUGAGGCUAGCAUGUCUUAGUCCCACUACUUUUAGUCAUGGGACUAAAACGUAUCCAAGCACCCUCUUAGUUUUAUUUGAGGGGUGGGUUGUGCUGGACACCAUUAUUGUGACUAGCCUUUUUAAUAGUACUAUACGCAUAAUUUGGCGACGAGCGCUCUCUAUAUGUACCACCUUUUUUUAAUUUUAAGUUUUGCUCCAUGGUGCAAUCCAUCGAUACUACUGCUGUACAAAAGUAUACAUUUUUUAAAAGUCUAGAGGGUGGGGCAGUCUAGCUUGGUCGGUUUCACGAGAGGUGAGUGCCUUUGUGAUUUGACAGCUCAUUAAUGUUGGAAGGCGGGGCCUUCUGAUUUGACUGCUCGUAUAAAUGCGCUGACGACCUGAUCGAGGAGGAGCAAAGAACCGUGUGGUAUACUCAAGUUUUCCACUGGAGUAGUACUGUGACGGAGGAGCACGAAACACAGCUGCCCAGUGCCAUAUGGCGAUAAAAAAUGAUCUAAUUUGCUAGUCAUCUCAUGGUUAGCAUUGUUCUAUUCAUUCCCUCAAAAAAACCAUUGUUCUAUUCAUGCCUCGUAGAGAACGUGACACGUGCGGCAAAACACCCGAAGCAAAAGAUGAAACACAAGAGCAAAAGAAGAAGGAAGAUUAUCACCCCAAAUGAUCUAAUUCGCCGCAGAGUCGUAACUGCUUCUUCAUCGCCUCCACGAACUCCAUCUCCUUGCGCGUCUCCUCCGCCAUCUUCUUCAUUCUGUCCAUCACGCAGGAUUUCUCGACGUGAUCCUUCAUCAUCUGUUCCACGGCCGCAUUACGUACCUUGACAGCAGGCGGGUGCUCGAUGCGGAGCUUCGCCAACUCCUCCUUCUAUUCCAUGACGAGGGCCUACAGCAUCUUCAUCGAGGAACUACUAUUCUCAUGCAGCUUCUUCCAGCCGGCGUUCUUCUCCUUCAACAGCUCUAUCUCGUGACAGAGCUUCACCUUGUCCUCCUGAAGUCGCAGGAUUUCGCCGGUCGCCUUCUUCUCCGAGGCAAUGCUCUUCUUCAGCAGCAUCACCAAGCCGACGGUCAACUCCCCCUGCUGAUUGAGCUCAGCAGGCAUGUCGUCGAGGCUCUCCUUCAGCAACUCCAUCAAGCCUUGAAUGAACUCCUUCUGCUUAUUGAGGUGCUUAUUGAGCUGAUCGGGCAUGUCGUCGAGGGAUAAUGACUCUAGCUCCUCCGGCUCGGCAUGUUCGCCUCCGCGGCUAGGGCGCUCCUGGGAGCCAUCGCCUGCCCGUGAGAGAUCUUUCGAGGUCUCUGUGUGGCGGCGAGCCCUCUCUUUUUUUCCCAGCCUUGGUUGCCGCUCCCUUGUUACGAGUAGUUCUCGACCUAGAGCUCUGCUCACCGGCCAUGGCAAUGAAGGACGAAGAAGAAGCACUUAUGAGGAGGAAAGGUAGAGUAAUUUUUGGUUAGGUAGUUCCCCUUUUUUAUAAACUGAGUACUAGCACUAGUACUAAUACCUGCAUAGUGGGAACACAUUCAAGUUUGGUACGUACUUGUAGGUGUGAGCAGGCUUUCGAAUGUGAUGGGAACAAGGUAAAGAUUAAUUGAUGGUUUUGGUUUCGAGGUCCGAAACGGCUCCUGAUGAGUUUAGCGAACAUAAAUUUCAAGUACUACACUGCUCAAAUGCGUAAAUAUUAUGUUACUGCAAAAAUUGGCACAAAAUACAAAGGAGACCAAUGGAAGUACUACUAGCAACCCACGAUUUAACUACUCGCAUGUGCGCAGUGGAGUAAUAAUGUCUUUCUUUCGCCCUCACGUCCACUCAAUUUGCAUGCACUGUAUUAAUUAACCAUCAAUGAAGUGAACGAGUUUACACGCGUCAAAUUAUCACAUGGGGUGGAUCUUGGUACAAAAUUGUGUCCGCCCGUGUACCCGCGUGUGCGUGCGAGGGAAUGAGUGCGUGCGUGGCGUGCGUGCACAUCUUCGCUUCGUGCAUGUACCGCCAGUAUGGCUCAGGGAGGACGAGUACAUUCUUCUGGAACCAGCAGCAUGUCACUGUGAUCAAUCCACGCAAGGAGGUCGCGACAACGCCUCCACAUGUGCCACCUGGCUUCAUGAACUGUAAGAGAGACACUGUGUAGCGUGCCAUUGGUAUUCUAAUUUACGUGUUUUGCACAUACUCGAAGUACUAGUAAGGUACACUUGCAUUGCACACAUCAGAUUUUGCACCCAAAUUAUGAAUGAAUACCACACUAUAGCAUGUAAGCUCUGAGUCAUAUAUGCCUGAUGUAGCCCUUUGUUAAUUCUUAUAGUUCAUCUCAUUCAAAAUCAAUUAGUUUUUAUAAAAAAGCUAAGAACGCGGGAAUAGGAAAAACAUGGGAUUAUAGUGGAAUGUCGUCUUGAAUCCUACAGGAUUGUACGAGUGUUUGAUUGUGCAUAGAAAAAAUGCAAAAUUCUUUCAAAGAGGUUUGAGUGGAUGGGAUGUUUCCUAUGAAAUCUAGUGCAAAUGAAUCAUAUGGAAAAAUUCCUAUUGUUUACAAUCAUACGAAUCAAACAACCAAGAUAGGAAAAAUUCCUAAUGAUUAGAAUCCUCCAAAAUUCCUUUGAGAAUCCUUUGAAUCAAAGAAGCCCUUAAUCUAUUUUAUGAUUCAUGGAAUUGUGUGUUGUAAAGCAUAAAGUAAAAACAAACAAUGGCAAUUCAACUAGAAAAAAAGUUUGGCAGUUAUGAUACGGAAGAUUCUAGAACAAAAGAGAACCACUGUUGUUUUGAGGUUUGUGAAUUAUGCUUAAGUUCAACCAUGGAGUCUGGUAGAUUGUACAUGUGGCAAAAUCCGGUGGGGGGCUAGAAGAUGGUGCGAGGGGCCAAGAGGAGGGAGAUUAUGAAGGAAUGCACAACUGCGAGAUCGAUAUUUAGAGAGAGGGGGCGAACACGUGCGCUGUUGCGCGCAGUGGUGGAGCCAUGAAAAAUAAAUGAGCUAGGGGGCCAAGCAUCGCUAAUCCUUUAUGAGGAGGGUCAAUUCAUGAACAUAAACCAUUUUUAGCAGCAAUUGUCUAAUGAUCGCAUUCAUAUUAGCCUCGAUAUAUAGUGAUGUUAGGGGGGGAGGGGGGCAGGGCCCUUAGAGAGGAAUAGAUUGAUCGAUGUGGACGUGGGAAAGAGGGUGAGACCUCACUGGAUAUAUCAAUUGAUCGGUUUGUGUGGAAAACUAUGAAAGACCUAGCUAUAUACACACAUACAUAGAGGAACAUCGAUCGUUGCGCAUGCACGCGUGAGAGAUAAAGAAUGCCCGAUAUGAUGGAGAGGGGGAUGUGUGUGGGUGUGUGCCUUCAUGGGAGACCGACCUGAAGAAAAAGAUUGCAUGCGUGCGAUGGAUAAUGCCGACUGGUAGUGUGUGUGCAUGCCUUCACGAGAGAAAGUUAGUGGUACAAUUAUAAAGAGAAGACUACUGUGUGGGUGUAAAAGAAUAGGUGAGGUCAUAAUCAACAUAAAGUUGAAUUCAAAUAUUUGAAUAAGAGAUCCUGAUGUUUGAAACCCAUGCAUGCAUGAAUAUAACGGAGAUCUGCGCAGUGUGGUUUGGAAACGAGCAUGUUGUAAUGUAUACACAUUGAACAAGGUCAGACUGAUUUGAAUUUGAGAUACCGAUGGCAGACAUCAUUUGGCCACGUUGCAUCCGUGCAUGGACACACUAUUCUAAUUGGAGAUGAUGGGCGGCUUUCGCAUCACAUAUCUAUAUCUAUACCCCUAUAUAUAUUAUAUUUUAUAUUUUUUUAUAUUGUGUGUGGGUAACUUUAACAUUGAAAGAUGGUCGUUGGAUGAGGCGAAUCCGAUGGUCCAAAGAUGGCAAAUUUGAGCACUACUGGCCGUUGGAUAUCAUCUAGAUUCCACCAGAUUUCGCCACAUGUAUAAUCUAGAAGACUCCAUGAUUGAACUUAAGCAUAAUGCACAAACAUCAAAACACAAGCACUUCUUAUUUGUUCUAGAAUCUUCCGUAUCAGAAUUGCCCAAAUGUUUUUCUACAUGAUUUGCCAUUAUUUGUGUUUACUUUAUGUCUUACGACACACAAUUCCAUGAAUCUUAAAAUAGAUUAGCUUUCUUAUAAAAACUAUAUGAUUUUGAAUGAAAUGAACUAUAAGAAUUAAACGAACAUCUACAUCAUGCAUAUAUGACUCAAAGCUUGCAUGUUAUAAUGUGGUAUUUAUUCAUAAUUUGGUUGCAAAAUCUCAUGCGUGCAAUGCACGUGUACCUUACUCUAGUCUAAAUGGUGUUUGUGCGUGUGUUGUGCGUGUUGACGUGCAAAUUGUCUUUUUUUUGGUACACGUUAAGCUUGUUCUUCCGAAAAAGCCGCGCCUUGUUAUGCCGAAAAUUCAAGCUAGCGUCUCUGUCUAUCGUGCUGCGAAACUCCCGCCUCUUCAACCCGCGCCUUGUUAGCCCGGAAUAUUUAAGAUAUAUCUUUGUCUCAUUGUGCUUUCACAACUCUCUCCAUCUCAACCUGUGCCUUGCUAUUCAGAAAUUACAACUCGUGCGAAAACUCCCACCUCCUGUGAAAUCCCGACAUGCGAAAUGCCCGUGGUACCCAUGAACAGAAGGAACCGCGUCAAAUCGGUGGGGGUACUUUCGUAACUUACCCCACAUUUCGGACAAGCAUGUCUCUAAGCCAUGGUUCCCCACUGCCAUCCCAUCCACCCACCUAUUUGUACACCGAGGCCGCAAAACCCCACACCCUGUAGCCGGAGCCUCUGCCCCGACGACGUCGUCCACAGCAACACCUCGACGUCCCUCGUCCACCAUACCGGAUGAGGACCCGUCGUCGAUCUCAUUGUCCCACCGGUUUAGCCACCCCAUCCUCCACCUCCAAGUAGCUGCCCCGACGUUCCCCUCGUCUUUCAUGCCACCUCCAUUCCCACACCGCCGUCUUCACCUGCACCACCAGAAGAGCAUCAUCAUCACCGUUUCCUCGGAUGAAACUGCGGCCUAAUCGGCACCACCAAAGAGGUUGUACACUAAGCACCGCAUUUUCUUCUUGAUUCGAUAUCACGGUGCUGCCGGCGCUCGGUCCCGAGCCGACACGGCGCGGCUCCAUCCACAGCGGCAUCGCCGGCCACUUCCUACACGGCGUAGCUCCCUCGGCCGUGACAUCCACAUCAGUAGGAGCUGCUGCUGCUUUAGCUCUUACUCGCGCUGCUGCUCUGCUCUUGCUCUCGGUCCCCUGCCUGGUCUGCUCUUGCUAUUGCUCUUGCUCGCGCUGCUGCUCUCGCUCUUGCUCUUGCUUGUGAUGCUGCUCCGAUUUAGCUACACUUUAGUCGACUGAAUCGACUUUUGGGUCAGUCGAUUUUCAGGGGGUGGGGGGGCUUGCCGGGGUGAAGGAAGAACCAGCUGCAGCGAGGAGGGGGGCUCGUCGGAGAGGUACUCACCUAUCUAUCUUAGGGUUCAGGAUGNNNNNNNNNNNNNNNNNNNNNNNNNNNNNNNNNNNNNNNNNNNNNNNNNNNNNNNNNNNNNNNNNNNNNNNNNNNNNNNNNNNNNNNNNNNNNNNNNNNNNNNNNNNNNNNNNNNNNNNNNNNNNNNNNNNNNNNNNNNNNNNNNNNNNNNNNNNNNNNNNNNNNNNNNNNNNNNNNNNNNNNNNNNNNNNNNNNNNNNNNNNNNNNNNNNNNNNNNNNNNNNNNNNNNNNNNNNNNNNNNNNNNNNNNNNNNNNNNNNNNNNNNNNNNNNNNNNNNNNNNNNNNNNNNNNNNNNNNNNNNNNNNNNNNNNNNNNNNNNNNNNNNNNNNNNNNNNNNNNNNNNNNNNNNNNNNNNNNNNNNNNNNNNNNNNNNNNNNNNNNNNNNNNNNNNNNNNNNNNNNNNNNNNNNNNNNNNNNNNNNNNNNNNNNNNNNNNNNNNNNNNNNNNNNNNNNNNNNNNNNNNNNNNNNCAGGAUGGGGGCGGUGGUCGUCGGCGGUGGCGUGGGGAUCGCCAGAGAAAAAGCUCGGCAUGGGGGGAGGGCUAGAGGGAUGGCUGGGGCGGCGGCGGACCGGCGGUGGGGAGUGUUUUUGGGGCGGGCGGGGCGGCGCCGGCCGUGGGCGGCGGGGGCUGCAGUUUGGCCGGUGGUGGCUCGCGGCUCAGGGGGGUGGAGGUUGAAGAUGAACCGUAGGCCCUUGAUUUCGUAUCCAACGGCUGCAAAAUCAACUGACCAGAGAUGAAAAAGUCAGUCGACCGACGUGUAGCCUCACCUUGCUAGUGCGUUCAGUUUCGACAGCAAAAUUCAGUUUUGACAGCAAAAUUCAGUUUCGAUAGUUAAGUUCAGUUUCGACAGUUAAGUUCAGUUUCGACAGUUAAAUUCAGUUUCGACAGUUAAGUUCAGAGAUGAGCGGCUGAUGUAUUUUACAUCUAGCACUUUGUGGUUAUGUAUUUUACGUCAUUUAUUGGAGAUGCUAUUAGAAUUCCACUCUGGUUAACGUUGUUCGUUGUCUCUCUUGUCCUACUUCAGCCUCGGCGUCAUACAACUCACCGGAGCUGCUCCAACGGUGAAACCCUCCAUCACAGUGGAGCAGUACCUCGGGCGCCAUCUCUAGACGCCUAAGAUCUUCUUCCCCUCCUCCUACAGCCAAGUCAGCCGGAGCAUCCUCACCGGCCAACCUAAUCACGCUGAGAUCGACAUGGCUUCGCCAAAAGAGGUUGUACACUUGUUGCAUCUCUUUUUUACUCUACAUGUUAUAUAUAUUGUCCACUGAGCACUCGUAGUAACGGGAAAUACAAUUAUUUUAUCCUACUAUAUGACAAGCAGUGAGGUACCAGGAAACUUAGCUAUGCGUGAUGGACUCUCUUGAAUGCCAUCAUUAUUUUAUCUCUGCGCGUUUGAGCUGUGCAUUUGUCGAUGGGCCUAGGAGUUGAGCUAGUAUGGCAGUGGCUUGGGUCCAAAGUAAUAGAAGUAGCACAAAAACAUUUUUUUAGUGUAGGAUUUUCCUUGCUCAAGCCUUCCUACUAGAAUCACCAGUGCUUGAAAGGAAAACAGAAUGAAAAACAUCUGAAUAGGAAAGUUUCCUAUGGUACUACUUUUCAUGAAUUUGGUGCAAAGGAAUGUAGCAAGGGAAAACUGUAGGAUUUGUUCCUUUAGUCUCUCCUUGAAAGAAAAACAGUAGGAAUUCUAAUUUCCACUUCUCCUCCUUUUCAUCUUCCUAUUCAUCAAGCACAAGACUAAGAGAUAGUAGCAUAAUAGCAUUAUAACCGUACAUUUUCUUGUGGUUUGACUUAAUCUCACCAUGCUUUUUUUGCAUCCUGUGAUCUUCCAAUUGUUGUGAAUCGAACACCCAGAUUGGCAGAAAUCCUGUGUUUUUAAAUUCUCAGUUUUGCACGUGCAUUCCUAUCCUAUUCCUAUCUAUUUCUUAUCCCUGCAUUGUUAGAAUCCUCAAAUUCAAACAAGCCCUUACUCAAUUACUUCUUUUACAGAUAUGUGUCAAAGAAAACCUUAUGUGGUUUGUCCUGCUCCUGUGGCGCUGUGUUCCACCCCAGCUCAGCUGCUCCAACGAUGGAAGGGUUCACCACAGUAGGGAUCCGCUCUCCAGACUGUCUUUCGCCGCCUCAGAUCUUCUUCCCUGCCGCCGGCAGCCACGGCAACUGCAUUACCAUCAUCAACUGAGCAGAUGACCUUGAGGACUACACGGGUCCGCAAGAGAGGUCGCACUUUUCCGUGUCUGCUUACAUUAUGCGUCGCUUAAUAUGAUGACAUGCUACAUUAUCGUUGUGUUCACCUAUUAGACUCCGAGUCAGGUCCAAACUAGUGCUGAAACUUGAGUUUUUAAAUGGUUGUGGGGUACAUAUUGGGGCAGCAAUCAGUACUAUCUAUUUACUAUCUGCUUAAUCUCCGGUGUGUACUAUGAGUUUCAUGUUGGGUGCGAACAAACAUUGAAGGAGCCAUUAUCUGUAUUUUUUAACUAAAGAUAUUAUCUGCCUGCUAUCAUUGGUUUUGGGUCUAUCCACAGUUUGCUACCAUCACUCUGGAUUUGUGCAUGCACUCCUUACAUAAUCUCACUAUGUUUUAUUCCUAUGCAUGCCAGUUAUUGUACACAAUGGAACUGAUCAUGUAGAGCAAAAGAUAUGAGCCUUGCGCGGCAAUAAAAUUUCAUGCAGACGUCGUUCCAUGGUGGGUGCAAAGGCAGCCCCCCUCCACCCAUUUCGGAUCAUAAUCAAGAGGAAGAUAACUGUUCUGAGGGGGAUUCAGAUGGAGAAGACCACUCCUAUUUACCCCAUGAGGUCUUCGCUCAAACUUGGCAUGCUGAUGUUGGUAAUAUCAUGCAUAUGGUGCCUUGCAUUGCUUACUGUAUACAUUAAAGAUGUCAUCUGCUUAGUUUAGACAUGCUUUGUGUCAAUGUCAUCUGUUUAGUUUCUUUAUCGUAUAUGUGAAUCAUGCAAUGCCAUCUUGUCUAGCCAGGCAUCAUAUAUGUGAAUUUUGCAAUGCCACCCUGGUUAGCCAGUCAUCUUAUAUGUGAAUUAUAUCAUGCCAUCAUUUUUUUAUUAUGUGUUAAAUUUGUCAACAAUUUUAGUACAUUCAAUUACUCUUCCUGUGCAUCAGCCAUUCGGCACGGUCAUGGAAAAAUCUGGAGUGGAAACAAGGUCUUCAGAGCANNNNNNNNNNNNNNNNNNNNNNNNNNNNNNNNNNNNNNNNNNNNNNNNNNNNNNNNNNNNNNNNNNNNNNNNNNNNNNNNNNNNNNNNNNNNNNNNNNNNNNNNNNNNNNNNNNNNNNNNNNNNNNNNNNNNNNNNNNGGCAGGGUUAUGUUGAUCAUAUCAUGCGUAUGGUAUCUUGCAUUGCUAUGUCAUUUUCUUAGUUUAGACAUGCUUUGUGUGAAUUCCACCUGUUUAGUGUCUAAUUACCAUAUAUGUGAAUUAUGCAAUGCCAUCUUGUUGCAAGACAUUAUAUAUGUGAAUUAUGCAAUGUUAUCUUGUUGCAAGGCAUUAUGUAUGUGAAUUAUGCAAUGCCAUGUUGUUUAGGCAAGCGUCAUAUAUGUGAAUUAUAUCAUGCUGUCCUUUUUUUGUAUUUCUCAUUGCUUUUGUCGACAAUGUUUGUAUAUUCAACUGCUCUUCCUAUGCAUCAGCCAUUUGAAUUGGUGAUGGAGCAAUAUGGAGUGAAAACACGGUCUUCAGAGCAGACAAUGCUACCUGCUGAAGCAUAUAUCUUGCUGGUUAUAGAUAGCUCUUUAGAGGAGGAUUCAGAGGCAGAUGACCAGUCCUAUUAUCCCCCUGAGGUUUAUGCUCAAACUUGGCAGGGUUAUAUUACUCAUAUAAUGCAUAGGUUGUAUUACAAUGCUUAGUUUUUACAUCAUAUACACAAUAUUGAAUGCCAUCUCCUUAGUUGACACAUCAUAUAUGCGAUUGCCCUCUGCUCACUUCCUUAGUAUAUAAAUCAUAUAUUUGAAUUAUGUCAUGCCAUGAUGUUUACAUAGACAGCAUGUAUCUGAAUUAUGGCAUGCCAACCCAUUUUCUAAAGACAUAAUAUAGUUAUAUCAUCUCAUCCUGUUUACAUAGUCAUCAUAUUUUAAAUUAUCUCAUUCUAUCCGUGAAUUAUAUCAUGCCAUCAUGUUUCCAUCGACGACAUGUUUGUGAUUUAUAGCAUGCCAACCACUUUAAUAGACACAUCAUAUAGUUAUAUCAUGUCAUCAUGUUUACAUAGUCAUCAUAUUUUGAAGUAUGUCAUUCUAUCAUGUUUAGUUAGCCAUCAUACAUGUGAAAUUGUGUCAUGCUAUCCUGUUUAAUUAGCCAUCAUAUAUGUGAAAUUAUGUCCUGCUAUUAUGUUUGCUUAGACAACAUAAAUGUGAGUUAUUUCAUGCCCUGUUUUCUUCCCUACUAUCCAUUGCACCUGUCUAUCUUACAAUGUCUGUACAUUCAAUUACUUUUCUUGUUUAUCAGCCAUUUCAAUUGGAGGGAGUGAUGGCAGUAUCUGUAGGAGUAAAAACAUGGUCUUCAGAAAAGUUCGUGCUACCUGUCGAUGCAGAUAGAACCACGGUUGUACUUGCCCAAGAACCAGCCCCACCACACAUAACCCACACUCAUGCAGAUUGUACCCCUACCCAGUUGGACAGAGAACCAGCUACACCCAUUCUAACCCCAACCCCAGCUGAUAGACACCUAGUUCCCGUUGACACAACAUCGUCUCCACCACAGAGCACCCAAACACGAGCAGUUAGUAAGGUAACUGCAGUGCCCAAAUCACGAGGACCACCACUCCGAACCCGAAGUCAACGCUUAAAGCGGAAGAAGAAUUUUUCUCAGGUCAGGUUCCAUAGCUAUGGUUCAUACUACUUUGCUCUUGCAUAACUAUAUUUACUGAUACCAACUAAUUUCAAAUUUGAAGGGUGCAAUUGAAACUCCAAUGGUGCAACAGGUAUGUUUUAAACUUGUUUCUUCAAUGUGUUUGGUUGUUUGCUGUUGUAACAUGUUCUAUGUUGAUUUCAGUUUCAAUUGAAUAAACAGUUAUGUUCUCAUGCCAUGCACAUUACAAGUGUUGUUAUUGUUGUGUAGUUUCCCAUACUUAUAUUCUGUCUAUGCUGCUUUGUCUUAAAUAGAUAUGAUUCGAACUGUAUCUAUCUUGAUUUGGCAACAGAAACUAGAAUGAUAUAGACCAUACAGUGACCGUACUAAAUAGAUGUAUGUUUGUUUCAUGCUGUUAUCCUGUCCACCUUACUACUGAACUGGUUUACCAAAAUGAGUUUCAUAUACUACAUUGUAAACCUGAGAUGUGUUUGUUUGUUUCUCUUUUAGAACGCGGAUAAAAUAUUGGGUAAGAGUACCCUAUUAUGCAAUGGUAAAGGAAGUAAUGCAGAUAAGGUUCAAGAUAGUGAGACAUCCCUGUUGGUCUCCAAGAAAGCUGAUGAAAACUAUAUUGAAGACACUGAGACAACCCCAAAGUCCUGUCUUGAUGUAGUGUUCGAGUUACUGGCUACCACUGCUGGCACCAGCUCUUCGAACUCGUUGCCUGAAUCAGUUCGGCUUCUUGAGUCUCAACUUCAAGUUGAAAGACAUUGAUCAGAUGUUAUGCGACAGGAAGUCGAAGGACUGAGGAAGUCCCUGUAGAAUUCAGAUGCAUACUUUCUGGUGCAACAGCAAGCGCUGGAGGACUUAAGCGCCAAACAAGAGAAAGUUAAUAAGCUUGCUAAGCAUCUUGCCAGCAUUAUGGGUACCCAGGAUAUUGUUUCUUGAAUUCUUCUGAAGUGGUUUCAGUUCUGGACUUGUUUUGUUGCGGCGUUUAUAUGCUGAUGUGUUCCCUAUAUUUGCACUGGUGGCGAACUCUGAUGCCCAGUGGAUGUAAUAUGUGUAAUAGCCGUGAUAGCCUAGUAUAAGUUGCUUGCUUAUUUAUUUCUUUGUUGUCUUGUUUAUUUGUUUGCUUGUAGUCAGUGCAGUUCUUUUUCUGCUGUUUGCUAGUGGCUGCAAUAACCUAUUUUUUAAAACUAGGCCACAAUAACCAUGGGCUAAUAUUUACUGUAGUGACACUGGGCCUCCUAUGGGACGUAGAAAUAGUGGGCCUUCUAUGGGCCGUAUAAACAGUGGGCCUUCUACGGGCCGUAGAAACAGUGGGCCUUCUACGGGCCGUAGAAACAAUGGGCCUUCUAUGAGCCGUAUCAUCAAUGGGCCUUAUACGGACCGUAUGAUCGAUUGGCCAAACAUGGGCCAAACAGACCGCAUUCUGGCCGUAAACGGGCUAGAGUUGGAAUCAUCCGUUCAUGGGCCGACCAUAAUGGGCCAUCGUUAAUAGGCCGUAUUUGAUGACGCUAUGAAAACGGCCCAAUGUAUUAACGGACCACAAAUGGGCCGACUGUAACCACGGGCUGAAUUUGGCCCACAAGCAGAACAUGACAGUAACGAGCUGUAAGUAAACGAAUGCUGGAAAAUAGCCCAAGAAUAAAUGGGCUCCGAGAAGGCCGAAAGAUAACCUGGGCUAGAAACGGCCCAACGGAAUAACGGGCCAUUAAUGGGUAUAAAGUGAUACAAUGUUCUUUACGGGCCAGUUUCACCACGGACCGUUAAUGGGUGUAAAGUGAUACACUGUUCAUUACGGGCCAGUUUCACCACGGGCCGUUAAUAGGCCAAGAGUUACAUAGGGCCUCAUAUGGGCCGAAAGACUUCAUGGGCUAUACAUGGGCCAGAAGUGAAAACGGGCUGGAAUCAUAUUGGAUGGCCCAGAUAAAGCUACUAGGCCUAAUUCGAAUAGGGCGUGACGGGCCUUGGGUUAGCGGGCUGUAAAUGGGGUAUAUGCGAACAUGCCGUUAACAGGCUUUCCAUGGGCCGGCCUGCCACCUUUUGACCAAGUCAAGUGGGCCGGCCUUUUCACAUGAAUGGGCCUCUGUUGGGCCGUGCCACGUGUCGGCAUAUCAUUGGCGCCUUCUGUCCAAUGAGUGGAUGACAUCUGUCCCAGCGAUGAGAUGACAUGUGUUUCCUCCAGCCAAUGAUGAUUUUACACGUGGAAAAUCCCCAUUGGUCGGGGCUGUUAACGGGUUAUCUGAUCCAAAACCCGACCCGAUAGCUUAACGGCGUUCCGUUAUGGUGGAUGCCACGUGUCGGUCACCCUUGACGAAAGCAAUUCUUUGACGCGCGAUUUAUCGUCAUGGAAGUGGAACACUUCCGUGAUGAUAAUUUUGGUAAUGUCAUGGAACACUUCUAUGAUAGCACAGGUAUGACUAUCUUGAUUCUGUCAUAAAAUCGUCAUGGAUGUACAUGCAUGACAGAAAAUGUGACCUACUGUGACAAACACGUAUCAUCACAGAACUGUAUUUUUUUGUAGUGUAUUGAGAUCCAAAAAGAGAGAAGAAGCCAUCUAGCUACUAACUAUGGAUCCGAAGGUCUGAGGUAAACUACUCACACUUCAUCGGAGAGGCUAUGGUGUUGAUGUAGAAGCCCUCCGUGAUGGAUGCCCCCUCCGACAGAGCUCCGGAACAGGCCCCAAGAUGGGAUCUCAUGGAUACAGGAAGUUACGAUGGUGGAAUUAGGGUUUUGGCUCCAUCUCGGAUUGUUUGGGGGUACGUAGGUAUAUAUAGGAGGAAGGAGUACGUCAGUGGAGCAACAGGGGGCCCAGGAGGGUGGAGGGCGCACCUCGGGGGUAGGCGCGCCCCCUACCUCGUGGCCUCCUCCUUUGUUUCUUGACGUAUGGUCCAAGUCUCCUGGAUCAUGUUCGGUGAGAAAAUCACGUUCCCGAAGGUUUCAUUCCGUUUGGACUCCGUUUGAUAUUCCUUUUCUUCGAAACCCUAAAAUAGGCAAAAAAGGCAAUUCUGGGCUGGGCCUCUAGUUAAUAGUUUAGUCCCAAAAAUAAUAUAAAAGUGGAUAGUAAAGCCCAAUAAUGUCCAAAACAGUAGAUAAUAUGGUAUGGAGCAAUCAAAAAUUAUAGAUACGUUGGAGACGUAUCAAGCAUCCCCAAGCUUAAUUCCUACUCGUCCUCGAGUAGGUAAAUGAUAAAAACAGAAUUUUUUUCGUGGAAUGCUACUUGGCAUAAUUUUAAUGUAAUUCUUCUCAAUUGUGGUAUGAAUAUUCAGAUCCGAAAGAUUCAAAAUAACAUGGCCAAAGAAAGUUAUCCCUACAAAAUCAUAUAGUCUGGCUAUGCUCUAUCUUCACCACACAAAGUAUUUAAAUCAUGCACAACCCCGAUGACAAGCCAAGCAAUUGUUUCAUACUUUUGACAUUCUCAAAACUUUUUCAAUCUUCACGCAAUACAUGAGUGUGAGCCAUGGAUAUAGCACUAUAGGUGGAAUAGAAUGGUGGUUGUGGAGAAGACAAAAAGGAGAAUAUAGUCUCACAUCAACUAGACGUAUCAACGGGCUAUGGAGAUGCCCAUCAAUAGAUAUCAAUGUGAGUGAGUAGGGAUUGCCAUGCAACAGAUGCACUAGAGCUAUAAGAAUAUGAAAGGUCAACAAAGAAACUAAGUGGGUGUGCAUCCAACUUGCUUGCUCACGAAUACCUAGGGCAUUUUGAGGAAGCCCAUCAUUGGAAUAUACAAGCCAAGUUCUAUAAUGAAAAUUUCCCACUAGUAUAUGAAAGUGACGAAAUGAGAGACUCUCUACUAUGAAGAUCAUGGUGCUACUUUGAAGCACAAGUGUGGUAAAAGGAUAGCAGCAUUGCCCCUUCUCUCAUUUUCUCUCAUUUUUUGGGCCUUUUCUCUUCUUUUUUAUGGCCUCUUUUCUUUCUCUUUUUUCGUUCGGAGUCUCAUCCCGGCUUGUGGGGGAAACAUAGUCUCCAUCAUCCUUUCCUCACUUGGGAAAAUGCUCUAAUAAUGAUGAUCAUCACACUUUUAUUUUCUUACAACUCAAAAAUUACAACUUGAUACUUAGAAUAAAAUAUAACUCUAUGUGAAUGCCUCCGGCGGUCACCAGGAUAUGCAAUGACUCAUGAGUGACAUGUAUGAAAGAAUUAUGAAUGGUGGCUUUGCCACAAAUACGAUGUCAACUACAUGAUCAUGCUAAGCUAUAUGACAAUGAUGAAGUGUGUCAUAAUAAACAGAAUGGUGGAAAGUUGCAUGGCAAUAUAUCUCUGAAUGGCUAUGGAAAUGCCAUAAUAGGUAUGUAUGGUGGCUGUUUUGUGGAAGGUAUAUGGUGGGUAUAUGAUACCGGCGAAAGGUGCGCGGUAUUAGAGAGGCUAGCAAUGGUGGAAGGAAGAAAAGUGUGUAUAAUCCAUGGACUCAACAUUAGUCAUAAAGAACUCAUAUACUUAUUGCAAAAAUCUACAAGUUAUCAAAGCAAAGUAUUACGCGCAUUCUCCUAGGGGGAUAGAUUGGUAGGAAAAGACAGUCGCUCGUCCCCGACCGCUAGUCAUAAGGAAGACAAUCAAAAAAUAAAUCAUGCUCCGACUUCAUCACAUAACGGUUCACCAUACGUGCAUGCUAUGGGAGUCACAAAAUUUAACACAAGUAUUUCUAAAAUUCACAACUGCUCAACUAGCACAACUUUAAUAUCACCAUCUUCAUAUCUCAAAACAAUUAUCAAGCAUCAAACUUCUCAUAGCAUUCAACACACUCAUAAGAAAGUUUUUACUAUUCUUGAAUACCAAGCAUAUUAGGAUUAUUUAAGCAAAUUACCAUGGUAUUUAAGACACUCAAAAUAAUCUAAGUGAAGCAUGAGAGAUCAAUAGUUUCUAUAAAAGAAAUCCACCACCGUGCUCUAAAAGAUAUAAGUGAAGUACUAGAGCAAAAUUAUACAACUCAAAUGAUAUAAGCGAAGCACAUAGAGUAUUCUAACAAAUUCCAAAUCAUGUAUGGCUCUCUCAAAAGGUAUGUACAGAAAAUAUGAUUGUGGUAAACUAACAAAUAAAGACUCAAAUCAUACAAGACGCUCCAAGCAAAACACAUAUCAUGUGGUGAAUAAAAAUAUAGCUCCCAGUAAAGUUACCGAUAGAAGUAGAUGAAAGAGGGGAUGCCUUCCGGGCCAUCCCCAAGCUUUGGCUUUUAGGUGUCCUUAGAUUAUCUUGGGGGUGACAUGGGAAUCCCCAAGCUUAGGCUCUUGCAAUUCCUUGUUCCAUAAUCCAUCAAAUCUUUACCCAAAACUUGAAAACUUCACAACACAAAACGUAAAGUAGGAAAUCUCGUGAGCUCCGCUAGCGAAAGAAAACAAAAGACCACUUCAAGGUACUGUAAUGAACUCAUUAUUUAUUUAUAUUGGUUUUAAACCUACUGUAUUCCAACUUCUCUAUGGUUUAUAAACUAUUUUACUAGCCAUAGAUUCAUCAAAAUAAGAAAACAACACACGAAAAACAGAAUCUGUCAAAAACAGAACAGUCUGUAGUAAUCUGUAGCUAGCGCAAGAUCUGGAACCCCAAAAAUUCUAAAAUAAAUUUCUGGAAGUGAGUAAUUUAUAUAUUAAUCAUCUGCAAAAAUAAUUAACUAAAUAACACUUUCCAAAUAAAAAUGGCAGCAGUUCUCGUGAGCACUAAAGUUUCUGUUUUUUACAGAAAGAUAUCAAGACUUUCCCCAAGUCUUCCCAACGGUUCUACUUGGCACAAACACUAAUUAAACACAAAAAACACAACAAAAACAGAGGCUAGGUAAAUUAUUUAUUACUAAACAGGAGAAAAAAUCAAGGAAUAAAAAUAAAAUUGGGUUGCCUCCCAACAAGCGCUAUCGUUUAACGCCCUUAGCUAGGCAUAAAAAGCAAGGAUAGAUCUAAGUAUUGCCAUCUUUGGUAGGAAAUCCAUAAGUGGAUCUCAUAAUAGAUUCAUAAGGUAAUUUAAUUUUAUUUCUAGGAAAGUGUUCCAUGCCUUUCCUUAACAGAAAUUGGAAUCUAAUAUUUCCUUCCUUCAUAUCAGUAAUUGCACCAAUCGUUCUAACGAAAUGUCUACCAAGGAUAAUAGGACAUGAAGCAUUGCAAUCUAUGUCAAGAACGAUAAAAUCUACGGGCACAUAAUUCCUAUUUGCAACAAUAAGAACAUCAUUAAUUCUUCCCAUUGGUUUUUAAUAGUGGAAUCCGCAAGGUGCAAGUUUAAAGAUCAAUCAUCAAAAUCAAGGAAACCUAACAAAUCACACAAAGUCUUUGGAAUCGUGGAAACACUAGCACCCAAAUCACAUAAAGCAUAGAACUCCUGAUAUUUAAACUUAAUUCUAAUAGUUGGUUCCCACUCAUCAUAAAGUUUUCUAGGGAUAAAAACUUCCAACUCAAGUUUUUCUUCAUAAGAUCGCAUCCAGGCAUCAACGAUAUGUUUAGUAAAUGCUUUAUUUUGACUAUAAGCAUGCGGAGAAUUUAGCAUGGAUUGCAACAAGGAAAUACAAUCAAUCAAAGAGCAAUUUUCAUAAUUAAAUUCCUUCAAAUCCAAAAUAGUGCGUUUAGAAACAUCUAGGGUUUUAAUUUCUUCAAUCCCACUUUCAUCAAAUUUAGCAUCAAGAUCUAAAAACUCCGAAUUUUUGUAAUGCCUUCUAGGUAGAGGUGGAUCAUAUUGCAAAACAAAGAUUUAAUAGGGGACACAUCAAUAACUUUUAGAUCUUUACAGGAACUAGAAGAACACACUCUUAUAAAUGCAUCUUUCUUAGCACGCAUCAUAGUGGUUCUUUCUUUGCACUCAUCAAUGGAAAUUCUCAUAGCUUUGAGAGACUCAUUGAUAUCAUGCUUAGGAGGAAUAGAUCUAAGCUUUAAAGAAUCAACAUCAAGAGAAAUUCUAUCAACGUUCCUAGCCAAAUCAUCAUUUUAAGCAAUUUUUCUUCAAUCAAAGCAUUGAAAUUCUUUUACGAAGUAAUAAAUUAUUUAAUAUUAGAUUCAAAAUCAGAGGGCAUCUUAUUAUAAUUUCCAUAAGAAUUGUUGUAGGAAUUACCAUAAUUAUUAGAGGGAUUACUAGGAUAAGGCCUAGGAUUAAAGUUUCCUCUAUACACGUCGUUACCAAAAUUAUUCCUACCAACAAUAUUCACAUCCAUAGAUUCAUUAUUGUUAUUAAUCAAAGUAGACAAGGGCAUAUCAUUAGGAUCAGAAGAAACACUUUUACUAGCAAAUAAUUUCAUAAGUUCAUCCAUCUUUCCACUCAAAACAUUAAUUUCUUCUAUCACAUGCACCUUUUUAUUAGUAGAUCUUUCCGUAUGCCAUUGAGAAUAAUUAACCAUAAUAUUAUCUAAGAGUCUAGUAGCUUCUACGAAAGUGAUUUCCAUAAAAGUGCCUCCCGCGGCCGAAUCUAAAAGAUUUCUAGAAGCAAAAUUCAAUCCAGCAUAAAUUUUUUGUAUAAUCAUCCACAAAUUCAAACCAUGAGAAGGGCAAUUACGUAUCACUAAUUUCAUCCUCGCCCAAGCUUGUGCAACAUGUUCAUGAUCAAGUUGCUUAAAAUUCAUAAUAUCGUUUCUAAGAGAGAUGAUCUUAGCGGGAGGAAAAUACUUAGAGAUAAAAGCAUCUAUGCACUUGUUCCAAGAAUCAAUAAUAUUUUUAGGCAAAGACGGAAACCAAGAUUUAGCAUGAUCUCUAAGCGAAAAAGGAAAUAGCUUCAACUUAACAAUAUCGUUGUCCACAUCUUUCUUCUUUUGCAUAUCACAAAAAUCAACGAAGCUAUUUAGAUGGGUAGCGGCAUCUUCACUAGGAAGGCCGGAAACAGAUCUUUCAUGACAAGAUUCAGCAAUGCAGCAUUAAUUUCACAAGAUUCAGCAUCGGUAAGAGGAGCAAUCGGAGUGCUAAUAAAAUCAUUGUUGUUGGUAUUGGUAAAGUCACACAAUUUAGUGUUAUCUUGAGACAUCGUGACAAGCAAGCAAUCCAACACACAAGCAAACAAAAAGCAAGCGGGCAAAAAGAGGCAAAUAGAGAAGGAGAGGGAGGAUAGAGAGAGAGAGAGGGCGAAUAAAACAGCAAGGGUGAAGUGGGGGAGAGGAAAAAGAGAGGCAAAUGGCAAAUAAUGUAAUGCGGGAGAUAAGGGUUGUGAUGGGUACUUGGUAUGUUGACUUUUGCGUAGACUCCCAGGCAACGACGCCAGAAAUGGCUCGUUGUCAGGAGUCAAAUCUUGACUUGCGCGAACCUCCCUGGCAACGGCGCCAGAAAUUCUUCUUGCUACCUCUUGAGCACUGCGUUGGAUUUCCUUGAAGAGGAAAGGAUGAUGCAGCAAAGUAGCGUAAGUAUUUCCCUCAGCUUUUGAGAACCAAUGUAUCAAUCCAGUAGGAGGUUACGCGCGCGUCCCUAGUACCUGCACAAAACAAAUAACUCCUCGCAACCAACGCGAUAAGGGGUUGUCAAUCCCUUCACGGUCACUUACGAGAGUGAGAUCUGAUAGAUAUAAUAAGAUAAUAUUUUUGGUAUUUUUAUGAUAAAGAUGCAAAGUAAAAUAAAGGCAAAGUAAAAAGCAAAGGAAAUAACUAAGUAUUGGAAGAUUAAUAUGAUGAAGAUAGACCCGGGGGCCAUAGGUUUCACUAGUGGCUUCUCUCAAGAGCAUAAGUAUUUUAUGGUGGGUGAACGAAUUACUGUUGAACAAUUGACAAAAUUGAGCAUAGUUAUGAGAAUAUCUAGGUAUGCUCAUGUAUAUAGGCAUCACUGUAACACCCCGUAUGUAACUUGCCAUAUUUGCAUUCCAACUCUUGCCAUUUUCGGCACUAAGUUAUGUUAUUUCCUCGUUGUCGGGUUUUUGCCUCUGUGUUUUUUUUCAUGCAUCUCAUAUCAUGUCAUCAUGUGCAUUGCAUUUGCAUACGUGUUCGUCUCAUGCAUUCGAGCAUUUUCCCCGUUGUACGUUUUGCAUUCCGGCGCUCCUAUGUCCUCCGGUGUCCCUUUCUACCUCUUUUCGUGUGCGGGUGUUAAACGUAGUCAGAUUGGACCGAGACUUGUCAUGCGGCCUUGGUUUGCUACCAGUAGACCGCCUGUCAAGUUUCGCACCAUUUGGACUUCGUUUGAUACUCCAACCGUUAACCGAGGGACCGAAAAGGCAUGGUGUGUGUUGCAGCCCAACACCCCUUCAAAGUGGUCCAAAACCCACCUAAUCCUCUCCCAUCACCUAGGUCGUUCGAUCACGAUCGCGUGGCCGCGAACCGCACCUCAUUUGGACUCUCCUAGCUCCUCCUACCUCUAUAAAUAGCCCCUCGUCCAAAAUCCCGGAUCUCCUUCCACCCUAACCCUAGAAAAAUUCCUCUCCGCGCGGCCGGACACAUCCGCCGACCGCCGGACACACCGCCGCCACCACUUAGGACGUGCCACCUGUCGCCACCGCACUCCUCCCGCCGCCGGCCCGGGAAGCCCGCGUCGGGCCCCCGAGGACCAUCGCCCGCGCCCCGCCACUUGGGAGAGCCGCGCCGCCCUGCGCCUCUCUCCUCCGCCGCAGGCCACCGCGCCGGCCUGAUCUGCCCCUCGCCGGCAAGCUCACGGCACCGCGCCGGCCUCCCCCUCUAGCGCCGCUCGCCGUCCUGCUGCUCCAGCGCCGUCCCGCGCCACCGCACCUCGCCGUCCUCUCUGGCCGGCAUACUCCUCGGUGCCCUCAUCCUCUCCAGCGGCCCCAAGUCCGACUCCGGCGGCAACAGUACUCCGGCGACGAACCUCGAUCGGCGUGCAAAUCUGGAUCUGGAGUUUGGAUCCGGUUGACUUUUCCCCCCAAAACCCUAGUUUUAUGCAUACUUUGGCACGCCAUAACUUCAUCACCGUGGCUCCGAUUCGCGCAUGUAGCAUAUCGAAAUGUUCGUCUCGACGAGUAAUCCAUUUCAUCUCAUUGCAUCAUUUUCAUUUGAGGUCAUAUUGAUGCCCUAAAUGCUGUUGGAAGAGGGCUAUGUGAUGUUAGUUUCAGAUAUGUAUCAGCAUUUGCUCAUUUGUCAUUUUUGCCAUGAUUGAUGUGUAGAUGCUAUGAUCCUGAGCUCUACAUGUGUUUUGAAGUAUGCCAUGUUAUCUUUACAGGGGUGUAUGCCAUGUAUUUUUGUGAUCUCUGUGGUGACUAGCACAAGCAUGCAAAGUAGCUUACUUAAUGUUGCUGAUUUCAGGGACUUAGAAAUAUUCUAUGUCUUUGUCCUGCUGUAAUUUUUAUGCCAUGUGUUCAUGUUGCUACCAAGUGAUCCGUGCCUUAUUUUUAGCAUGAUCAGUAAGGAUGUUUUGUAGAUAUUGUGGUGCUCUAUCCAUCCAUGUCUUUUUUUGCAUUUAUGGAGCACCCUAGCUUGAGUCAAUCGAGCUCUACUUUUGCUAUAAAAUGUUCCUAGCAGAUUGUUAACAUGUUUAGCAAUUUUGCCGAGCUUGUUGUUAUUGAUCCAUGCAUGCUAUGUUGUUGUUAUUGCCCUGUUUAGCUUCUAUGCCAUGUCUACUUGCUGCGUGUAUGCUUAGUUUGUCAUGCAAUGCCUUUUGGCGAGUGCAUCGAGCUCAUGAACAUGCCUACUUGUAUCUGUUUUGCCAUGUUCCAGUUUGUCAUAAAGUCUGAAUUUGUUAACGAUAAUUGCUAUGUUCACGUGGUUGCAAUUGUAUUUUCUGAUCCCUUUUGGCUUAUGGUCAGUAAGGGACUUUUGUUGUAUACUUUGAGUAGCUUCAUGCCAUGCCUUUCUUUGCCAUGAUAUGUUCCUGCAACAUGUAGUUUUUGUGCUCUAAGAAUUGCUUCCUGAUGUUAAAUUCCUGACUUCUUGUUAAUUUCACUAAGUCUGAAACCUGUUAUCAUUUGCACUUUUGCCAUGCUUGUUUGAACCUGCUAUUCAGUGAAUUAGCCGUAGCUAAGUGUUCAUCUUUUGUCAAGCAUCUUGAGUGGAUCCCUGCCAUGUAUUUUGUUGUCAUGUUGGAGUGUUGUAGCAUGUUGUUCUUGAUGCAUUUAGAUGGUCUCGUGCUGUUAAUCGCAGACCGGUGCCAUAUUUGUUUUGCUUGUCAUUUCAAAACCGUGCAUCCGAUUCCGGUGUUCUUUAUAUCAAUUUCGACCGAAAUCAACUCCUAUUUCCAGUGGCACUCUUGGUUUUCCAAGUUGAGGCCAGGUUCAAUUAUUCCUUUCCAAAUCAUGCAUAUGCACCGCAUAUCGUAUCCCGCAUAUCAUACCAUGAUUUGCAUCAUGUUGCUUAUGCAUUGCACGUGGUUGAUUGUGUCUCCCUUUGCUUGUGUUCUUGUUUAGGGUAGAGCCGGGAGACGAGUACGCGAUCGAGGAGCCCGUUGAGUACACUUACGAGGAUCAAGUCAACUCGGAGAACUUUGCAGGCAAGAUGACCAUACCCUCGAAAUCACUUCUAUCUUUGCUUGCUAGAUGCUCGCUCUUUUGCUAUGCCUAUGCUACGAUACCUACCACUUGCUUAUCAUGCCUCCCACAUUUCCAUGUCAAACCUCUAACCCACCUUGUCCUAGCAAACCGUUGUUUGGCUAUGUUACUGCUUUGCUCAGCCCCUCUUAUAGUGUUGCUAGUUGCAGGUGAAGAUUGGAGUUUGUUCCUUGUUGGAACAUGUUUAUUGGUGGGAUAUCAUUAUAUUAUCUUGUUUAUCUUAAUGCACCUAUAUACUUGGUAAAGGGUGGAAGUCUCGGCCUUAUGCAUGGUGUUUUGUUCCACUCUUGCCGCCCUAGUUUCCGUCAUACCGGUGUUAUGUUCCUUGAUUUUUGCGUUCCUUACACGGUUGGGUUAUAAUGGAAACCCCUUGGAAGUUUGCCUUGAAUAAAACUCCUCCAGCAUGGCCCAACUUUGGUUUUACCACUCGCCACCUAGCCUAUUUUUCCCUUGGGUUCCGCGGACUCAAGGGUCAUCUUUAUUUAAACCCCCGGUCCAGUGCUCCUCUGAGUGUUGGUCCACCUUGUCAGCCGCCGGUGGGCACCAGGGGCAAGUCUGGGCUGGCCUACCGGAAGUUUGGACAAUCCGGUGUGCCCUAAGAAUGAGAUAUGUGCAGCUCCUAUCGGGAUUUUUCGGCACAUUCGGGUGGCUUUGCUGGACUUGUUUUUACCAUUGUCGAGAUGUCUUGUAACCGGGAUGCCGAGUCUGAUCGGAUUGUCUUGGGAGAAGGAAUAUCCUUCGUUGACCGUGAGAGCUUGUGAUGGGCUAAGUUGGGACACCCAUGCAGGGAUUUGAACUUUUGAAAGACGUGCCCGCGGUUAUGGGUAGAUGGGGAUUUGUUAAUGUCCGGUUGUAGAUAACCUUUAAACUAAACUUAACUAAAAUGAAUCAACAGAGUGUGUGGCCAUGGUGGUCUCUUUUCGGCGGAGUCCGGGAAGAGAACACUGUGUUGGAGUUAUGCUUGAACAUAGGUUGUUCUAGGAUCACUUCUUGAUCAUAGUUGUUCGAUCGUGCCUUUGCCUUCUCUUCUCGCUCUCAUUUGCGUAUGUUAGCCACCAAACAUGCUAGUCGCUUGCUGCAGCUCCACCUCAUACCUUUUACCAUUCCUAUAAGCUUAAAUAGUCUUGAUCGCGAGGGUGUGAGAUUGCUGAGUCCCCGUGACUCACAGAUUCCUUCCAAACCAGAUGCAGGGACCGAUGAUGCCAUUCCAGAUGAUGCGACCGAGCUCAAGUGGGAGUUCGAUGAGGACUCAGGACGAUACUACGUGUCUUUCCCGGAUGAUCAGUAGUGGUGCCCAGUUGGGGCGAUCGGGGACUAUGUUGCAUUUGGGGUUUAUCUUCAUUUUGGUUCCGUAGUCGGACCUUGAGUGUAUUUGGAUGAAUGUAAUGUUAUUUAUGAUAUUUGUGUGACGUGGCGAGUGUAAGCCAACUAUGUAUCCUUUUCCCUUAUUAUAUUACAUGGGUUGUUGUAAAGAUUACCUCACUUGUGACAUUGCUUUCGAUGCGGUUAUACCUCUAAGUCAUGCUUCGACAAGUGGGAGAUAUAGCCGCAUCGAGGGUGCUACAAGUUGGUAAUCAGAGCCUUCCCCGACCUUAGGAGCCCCCUGCUUGAUCGAAUCGUUGGCGUUGUUGAGUCUAUAAAAAUGUUUUGAGUAAUUUAGGAUUAUAUAUAUCGGAGAGUAGGAUUCAUUUUACUCCUCAGUCCCUUCGUCGCUCUGGUGAGGCAUCCUGACGUAGAGUUUUGACUCUUCUCUUCUCAAAUUUCACUAAAAAAAUUUAGGAUCACGCGGGUAUCUUGGAAUCAUUCCGAUGGUUUUGUGACGAGAACAUUGUUCUUGAUGCCUCCUGACAUUUAGGGGUUGUGGCAGUGUCCCGGGGAGUUGAGCUCCGAGGUGUUGUUGUCACAAUUUUAUCGUUGCAGUUCUGGAAUACCUGAGUUUCGCCGACAUUGAAAAUCUCUUUUAUGCAGUUGUUGGUGAGAUAACCUCGACGCCACCCGGUACUGGGGCGGGAGUUCAGGAGUAUCGCCAUAACUCGUAUAACGGAUGCUUUUCGAAGGUUGAGGUAAAUGAUUUUUGAAGUUUUCUUGGUUAUGUGUUGAAGGGUGGAUACAGCUGGAUGUAGGAUUUGCGAGCUUUGGGUGAGAUAUUAUGCUUCCCCUGUAUUCCCAACACCUGAUUGCAUAUCCGAGAGAAUUUUGGGAGUUUCAUAGGUGGGAAUUCUUGUAGCUCUAGUAUUUCUUCCGCAAAUAUUUGGUUUGUGAUUGGGUAAUCCUCACCAAGUAUUUGUUCAUGUCCAUACCUUGUUGUACUAUUCUUCUACCUCUAUCUAAGUGGCUUCUCAAUUUAUGGAAGUGUGACCAUUUCAAUUGGAAUGCAUUCGUUCAUUUUGUUUGGAUGUUAAGACUAUAUGUUGCAAUUUCAACCCAUUUGAUUCAGCUUGAAUAUAUGUCUGUCAAGAUGCUAACGGAUGUCACCCUCUCCAGGAUGGCUCCUCCAACGCGCACGACUCUGUAUCCUGAUCUGCCACCACCACCUCCACCUCCGGAGGCAUGGCAAGCUGUGAUGGCUGCUACCAAUGCAAACAUGCAGCUGAUCAUGCAGCUCUUGCAAGAGCGCAACCAAGGGAAUCAUGGCCAUGGCAACAAUCAGAAUCAGUUUGCUACACUCAACCAGUUCCUCGCUAACCAGCCAAAGACCUUCAGCAACUGUGUCGAGGCCUCAGACGCUGAUGAUUGGCUCGUGAAUAUCGGCAAGCAUUUCGAGUGCAGCAACGUCAGGCCUGAGGACUUUAUCAAGUUUUCUUCGUUCCAACUCAAAGACCAAGCUGCAGAAUGGUUUCAGCAAUACAAAGAUUCCAGAGGAGGUCAUGUGAUUACCUGGGAUGAAUUCCGUCAAGACUUCAAAGCUCACCACAUUCCUCAGAGUGUUGUUGAGAGCAAGUGUGAGGAAUUCUGCAACCUGAAGCAAGGCAGCUGGUCUGUUUACCAGUAUAACAUUCCGUUCCAGAGGCUCGCUCGUUUCGCCAAGCAAGACGUCCCUGACGAGAAGAGCAUGAUUUAUCAGUUCAGGGGUGGCCUCAGAGAAGAUCUCCAACUAGCGCUCGUCCUUUUUGAGCCGAAGAAGUACGAUGAGUUCUACAAUAUGGCAAUGAAGCAAGAGACUGCUCAACUCAAGUGUGAUGCUUCCAAGCAGUGAGGCAGAGAUGCAACUCCUUCCUCAACUCAAGUGGCUAAGCAGCAAAAGUAUUGGCGGCCUCCUCCUCCGUCCCGUCAGCCUUAUCAGCAGAAGAGUAAAGGUGACAGUGGAUCUUCCCACCCACCCAACCCAGGCUUUCAGAACAAGACUUCGUCUCAAGCUCCAAGAUCAAGUGCUCCGUAUCAUCGUCCGCUCUCGGAGGUCAUGUGCAACAAGUGUCAGCAGAAGGGUCACUAUGCCAACAAAUGCUGCAAUCAGAGGCGUCUCCCUCCUCCUCCUGUGAGAUCUGCUAGCAAUGCAGUGGUCAAGCACAAUCCCAAGCAUGCUAAGGUCAACAUGAUGAAUGCAGCUCAGGCAGAGGACUCGUCAAAUGUCAUCAUGGGCAACCUUCCUGUUAACGAUGUUCCUGCUAAAGUUCUUUUUGACACUGGUGCAUCACAUUGUUUCAUCUCAAGACCAUUUGUAUGUAAGCAUGAGUUGUCUUUCCAAGAUUUGCAUAGACCGUUAGCAGUUGUCUCUCCGGGAAAGUGCUUGCAUGCAAGCUAUGUGGUUCCGGAUGUUUCUAUCACGUUGGGUGACUAUAAGUUUAUGUCUUCUCCAAUGGUCCUUGGUAACUUGGAUAUUGAUCUUAUUCUCGGAAUGGACUGGCUUUCUAAGCACAAGGCUCAGCUUGAUUGUGCUGCCAGGCAGAUUCAAUUGACUCAUUCGCCUGAGGAUGUUAUUGUCUUUGCCGCUCAGGAUGAUACCAUUCGACUGUUUUCACUCAAUGAGAAGGGUGAGCUGGAUGCCAUCUCUCAGAUUCCAGUCAUUUGUGAAUAUCAAGACGUCUUUCCAGAAGAGCUUCCAGGAAUGCCUCCGCACCGGCCAGUUUAAUUCGUCAUCGAUCUUGAGCCUGGCACGGAACCUGUUUGCAAACGUCCUUACAAUCUUCGACCUAAAGAGUUGAAGGAGCUGAAGAAGCAACUCGAUGUUCAAGAGCGUAUGGGUCUCAUCCGACCAAGUUCUUCUCCUUGGGGUUGUGGCAUUCUUUUCGUCAAGAAGAAGGAUGGAACAGACCGACUUUGUGUCGACUACCAUCCAUCAAACAAGAAGACCAUAAAGAACAAGUACCCACUUCCCAACAUCAAUGAGCUUUUUGAACAACUCAAAGGUGCUCAAGUAUUCUCCAAGCUUGAUCUCCGUAUGGGCUAUCAUCAGAUUCGCAUUCGUGAAAACGAUAUCCCCAAGACAGCAUUCAGAACAAGCUAUGGUUCAUAUGAAUACACUGUCAUGUCUUUCGGCCUUGUCAAUGCACCUCCAACAUUUUCUCGCAUGAUGAACUUCAUCUUCAACGCCUAUACAAAUGACUUCGUCUUGGUCUACCUCGAUGACAUUUUGGUCUUUUCCAAGAACAAGGAUGAUCAUGCCAAGCAUUUGAGAUUGGUGCUGGAUAAACUCAGAGAACAUCAGUUCUAUGCCAAGUUUUCAAAGUGCGAGUUUUGGCUUGAUGAGGUUCUCUACCUUGGGAAUAUCAUCUCUGCUAAGGGCAUAGCGGUUAAUCCUGAGAAGGUGUCUGCAAUUGUGAAUUGGGAACCACCUCAGAAUGUGAAGCAACUCCGCAGCUUCCUUGGGCUCGCAAGCUAUUGUCGAAGGUUCAUUGAACUUCUCUAAGAUCGCGAAGCCUCUUUCCAACCUUCUCCAGAAGCAUGUGAAGUACGUCUGGUCUCCUGAAUGUGACAUCGCUUUCAACACCCUGAAAGAGAAGUUAGUCACUGCUCCAGUUUUGACUCCUCCUGAUGAAUCCAAACCGUUUGAGGUCUUCUGUGAUGCUUCCCUUCAAGGUCUUGGUGCAGUGUUGAUGUAAGAGAAGAAAGUUGUGGCCUAUACCUCUCGCCAGUUGAAGCCCAACGAAAAGAACUACCCCACUCAUGACCUCGAGUUGGCGGCAGUUGUGCAUGCUCUUUUAACUUGGAGACAUCUCUUAUUGGGAAGAAAAGUGGACAUCUUCACUGAUCAUAAGAGUCUCAAGUACAUCUUCACUCAGCCAAACCUCAACCUCAGGCAGACUCGUUGGGUCGAAAUGAUUCAAGAGUAUAAUCCGAGUAUCGAAUAUACUCCAGGCAAGGCCAAUGUAAUUGCUGAUGCAUUGAGCAGAAAGGCUUACUGCAACAGUCUGAUUCUCAAGCCUUACCAACCCGAGCUUUGUGAAGCUUUCCGCAAACUCAACCUUCAAGUUGUUCCUCAAGGUUUCCUCGCCAACCUCCAAGUCUCUCCUACUUUGGAAGAUCAGAUUCGCAAGGCUCAACUUCUUGAUGCUACGGUGAAGAAGGUGAAGAUUGGGAUUGCCAAGAGUCAACCCAUGUACAAGUGUUAUCGCCUUGAUGACAAGGAUACUCUAUUCUUCGAGGAUCGCAUUGUUGUGCCUAAAGGUGACCUUCGUAAAGUCAUUUUGAACGAAGCUCACAAUUCACUUCUCUCUAUUCACUCUGGAAGUACAAAGAUGUACCAUGACCUCAAACAGUCGUAUUGGUGGACUCGAAUGAAGCAUGAGAUUGCUCAGUUCGUGAAUGAAUGUGAUGUCUGCAGAAGAGUGAAAGCAGAACACCAAUGACCAGCUGGUAUCCUCCAACCGCUUGCCAUUCCAGAAUGGAAGUUUUACCAUAUUGAGAUGGACUUCGUGACUGGAUUUCCCAAGUCCAAGCGUGGCAAUGAUGAUAUAUUCGUUGUCAUCGACAAGCUCACUAAAGUGGCCCAUUUUCUUCCUAUCAAAGAAUCUAUCACAGCAGCUCAGUUGGCAGAACUAUAUACCUCCAGGAUUGUCUCUCCGCACGGCAUUCCGCAGUUGAUUUCUUUAGAUCGUGGCAACAUCUUCACAUCUAAGUUUUGGGAUUCUUUUCAGAAGGCCAUGGGCACCAACAUUCGCUUCAGCACAACUUUUCAUCCUCAAACUAGUGGCCAACUCGAGCGAGUAAAUCAAAUUCUUGAAGAUAUGCUCAGGGCUUGUGUCAUUUCUUUCGGUACGAAGUGGGAAGAUUGUCUUCCAUAUGCCGAGUUCUCCUACAAUAACAGCUUCCAAGCAAGUUCGGUCCAGGCCCCAUUCGAGAUUCUCUAUGGCAGGAAGUGUCGUACUCCUCUUAACUGGUCAGAGACUGGGGAACGUCAACUUCUUGGAAAUGGCUUGAUCACAGAGGCAGAAGAAAUGUGCAAAGUCCUUCGUGAAAAUCUAAAAGCCGCGCAAUCGCUCCAAAAGAGUUACUAUGAUAGCAAGCAUCGUGACUUGACUUUCGAGAUCGGAGACCAUGUCUACCUCCGCGUCUCUCCAAUGAAAGGUACUCGUCGCUUCGGUAUCAAAGGGAAGCUCGCCCCUAGAUACGUGGGUCCUUUCAAGAUCAUCAACAAAAGAGGCGAUCUCGCCUAUAAACUUGAGCUUCCCUCCAACUUUGCAAACGUGCAUGACGUGUUUCACGUCUCUCAGCUCUGCAAGUGUUUCAAGACUCCUGACCGCACCAUCAACUUCGAAGACAUUGAUCUCCAAGAAGACAUGUCUUAUUGUCAGCACCCCGUUGCUAUUCUCGAAGAAACUGAGCGCAAGACUCGCAACAAGUCUAUCAAAUUCCUCAAAGUCAAGUGGUCACAUCAUUCCGACCGUGAAGCCACCUGGGAACGCGAGGAUCACCUCCUUUCUGAGUGGUCGGAGUUUUUCCAGUCCUAGAUCUCGGGACGAGAUCUUUUCGUAGUGGUGGAGUGUUGUAACACCCCGUAUGUAACAUGCCAUAUUUGUAUUCCAACUCUUGCCAUUUUCGGCACUAAGUUAUGUUAUUUCCUCGUUGUCAGGUUUUUGCCUCCGUGUGUUUUUGUCUUUGUCAUGCAUCUCAUAUCAUGUCAUCAUGUGCAUUGCAUUUGCAUACGUGUUCGUCUCAUGCAUUCGAGCAUUUUCCCCGUUGUCCGUUUUGCAUUCCGGUGCUCCUAUGUCCUCCGGUGUCCCUUUCAACCUCUUUUCGUGUGCGGGUGUUAAAUGUUUUCAGAUUGGACCGAGACUUGUCACGCGGCCUUGGUUUACUACCGGUAGACCGCCUGUCAAGUUUCGCGCCAUUUGGACUUCGUUCGAUACUCCAAUGGUUAACCAAGGGACCGAAAAGGCCUCGUGUGUGUUGCACCCCAACACCCCUUCAAAGUGGCCCAAAACCCACCUAAACCUCUCCCAUCACCUACGCCGUUCGAUCACGAUCGCGUGGCCGCGAACCGCACCUCAUUUGGACUCUCCUAGCUCCUCCUACCUCUAUAAAUAGACCCUCCUCCGAAAUCCCGGAUCUCCUUCCACCCUAACCCUGGAAAAAUUCCUCUCUGCACGGCCGGACAUGUCCGCCGGCCGAUGGACACACCGCCGCCACCUCUCAGGACGUGCCACCUGUCGCCACCGCACUCCUCCCGCCGCCGGCCCGGGAAACCCGCACCGGGCCCUCGAGGCCCAUCGCCCGCGCCCCGCCGCCUGGGAGAGCCGCAGGCCACCGCGCCGGUCGGAGCUGCCCCUCACCGGCGAGCUCGCUCCACUGCACCGGCCUCUGCCUCCAGCGUCGCCCGCCGUCCCGCUGCUCCGGAGCCAUCCCGCGCCACCGCACCUCGCCGUCCUCUCUGGCCGGCCUCCUCCUCGGCACCCUCGUCCUUUCCGGCGGCCCCAAGUCCGACUCCGGCGGCUACAGUACUCCGGCGACGAACCUCGAUCGGCGUGCAAAUCUGGAUCUAGAGUUUGGAUCUGGUUGACUUUUUCCCCCGAAACCCUAGUUUUAUGCAUACUUUGGCAAGCCAUAACUUCAUCACCGUAGCUUCUAUUCGCGCGUGUAGCAUAUCGAAAUGUUCGUCUUGACGAGUACUCCAUUUCAUCUCAUUGCAUCAUUUUCAUUUGAGCUCAUCUUGAUACCCUAAAUGCUACUGGAAGAGGGCUAUGUGAUGUUAGUUUCAGAUCUGUAUCAGCAUUUGCUCAUUUGUCAUUUUUGCCAUGAUUGAUGUGUGCAUGUUAUGUUCCUGAGCUCUACGUGUGUUUUGAAGUAUGCCAUGUUAUCUUUACAGGGGUGUAUGCCAUGUAUUUCUGUGAUCUCUGUGGUGACUAGAACAAGCAUGAAAAGUAUCUUACUUAAUGUUGCUGAUUUCAGGGACUUAGAAAUAUUCUAAGUCUUUGUCCUGCUGUAACUUUUAUGCCAUGUGUUCAUGUUGCUACCGAGUGAUCCGUGCCCUUUUUAGCAUGAUCAGUACGGAUGUUUUGUAGAUAUUGUGGUGCUCUAUCCAUCCAUGUCUUUGUUUGCAUUUAUGGAGCACCCUAGCUUGAGUCAAUCGAGCUCUACUUUUGCUACAAAAUGUUCCUGGCAGAUUGUUAACAUGUUUAGCAAUUUUGUCGAGCUUGCUGUUAUUAAUCCGUGCAUGCUAUGCUAUUGUUCUUGCCAUGUUUAGCUUCUAUGCCAUGUCUACUUGCUGGGUGUAUGCUUAGUUUGUCAUGCAAUGCCUUGUGGUGAGUGCAUCGAGCUCGUAAACAUGCCUACUUGAUAUCUGUUUUGCCAUGUUCCAGUUUGUCACUAAGUCUGAAUCUGUUAAUGAUAAUUACUAUGUUCACGUGGUUGCAAUUGUAUUUUGUGAUCCCUUUUGGCUUAUGGUCAGUAAGGGACUUUUGUUGUAUACUUUGGGUAGCUUCAUGCCAUGCCUUGCUUUGCCAUGAUAUGUUCCUAUAGCAUAUAGUUUUCGUGCUCUAAACAUUGCUUCCUGAUGUUAAAUUGCUGACUUGUUAAUUUCACUAAGUCUUAAACCAGUUAUCAUUUGCACUUUUGCCAUGCUUGUUUGAACCUGCUAUUGAGUGAAUUAGCCGUAGCUCAGUGUUCAUAUUUUGUCAAGCAUCUUGAGUGGAUCCCUGCCAUGUAUUUUUGUCAUGUUGGAGUGCUGUAGAAUGUUGUUCUUGAUGUAUUUAGAUGGUCUCGUGUUGUUAAUCGCAUACCGGUGCCAUAUUUGUUUUGCUUGUCAUUUCCAAACCGUGCAUCCGAUUCCGGUGAUCUUUAUAUCGAUUUCGACCGAAAUCAACUCCUCUUUCCAGUGGCACUCUUGGUUUUCCAAGUUGAGGCAAGGUUCAAUCAUUACUUUCCAAAUCAUGCAUAUGCACCGCAUAUCGCAUCCCGCAUAUCAUACCAUGUUUUGCAUCAUGUUGCUUGUGCAUUGCACGUGGUUGAUUUGUCGGCACAUUCGGGUGGCUUUGCUGGACUUGUUUUACCAUUGUCGAGAUGUCUUGUAACCGGGAUGCCGAGUCUGAUCGGAUUGUCUUGGGAGAAGGAAUAUCCUUCGUUGACCGUGAGAGCUUGUGAUGGGCUAAGUUGGGACACCCCUCAAGGGAUUUGAACUUUCGAAAGCCGUGCCCGUGGUUAUGGGCAGAUGGGAAUUUGUUAAUGUCCGGUUGUAGAUAACCUUUAAACUAAACUUAACUAAAAUGAAUCAACAGAGUGUGUGGCCGUGAUGGUCUCUUUUCGGCGGAGUCCGGGAAGAGAACACGGUGUUGGAGUUAUACUUGAACGUAGGUUGUUCUAGGAUCACUUCUUGAUCAUAGCUGUUCGAUCAUGCCUUUGCCUUCUCUUCUCGCUCUCAUUUGCGUAUGUUAGCCACCAAAUAUGCUAGUCGCUUGCUGUAGCUCCACCUCAUACCUUCUACCAUUCCUAUAAGCUGAAAUAGUCUUGAUCGCGAGGGUGUGAGAUUACUGAGUCCCCGUGACUCACAGAUUCCUUCCAAACUAGAUGCAGGGACCGAUGAUGCCAUUACAGAUGAUGUGACCGAGCUCAAGUGGGAGUUCGAUGAGGACUCAGUACAAUACUACGUGUCUUUCUCGGAUGAUCAGUAGUGGUGCCCAGUUGGGGUGAUCGGGGACUAUGUUGCAUUUGGGGUUUAUCUUCCUUUUGGUUCCGUAGUCGGACCUUGAGUGUAUUUGGAUGAAUGUAAUGUUAUUUAUGAUAUUUGUGUGACAUGGCGAGUGUAAGCCAACUAUGUAUCAUUUUCCCUUAUUAUAUUACAUCGGUUGUUGUGAAGAUUACCUCACUUGCGACAUUGUUUUCGAUGCGGUUAUGCCUCUAAGUCGUGCUUCGACACAUGGGAGAUAUAGCCACAUCGAGGGCUUUACAAUCACGUCUAAGACAAGUAGACUGACUCUUGCCUGCAUCUACUACUAUUACUCCACUCAUCGACCGCUAUCCGGCAUGCAUCUAGAGUAUUAAGUUCAUGAAAACAGAGUAACUCCUUAAGCAAGAUGAUAUGAUGUAGAGGGAUAAAUUCAUGCAAUAUGAUAAAAAACAUGUCUUGUUAUCCUCGAUGGCAACAAUACAAUACGUGCCUUGCUGCCCCUACUGUCACUAGGAAAGGACACCGCAAGAUUGAACCCAAAGCUAAGCACUUCUCCCAUUGCAAGAAAGAUGAAUCUAGUAGGCCAAACCAAACUGAUAAUUCGAAGAGACUUGCAAAGAUAACCAAUCAUACAUAAAAGAAUUCAGAGAAGAUUCAACUAUUGUUCAUAGAUAAUCUUGAUCAUAAACCCACAAUUCAUCGAUCUCAACAAACACACCGCAAAAAGAAGAUUACAUCGAAUAAAUCUCCACAAGAGAGGGGGAGAACAUUGUAUUGAGAUCCAAAAAGAGAGAAGAAGCCAUCUAGUUAAUAACUAUGGACCCGAAGGUCUGAGGUAAACUACUCACACUUCAUCGGAGAGGCUAUGGUGUUGAUGUAGAAGCCCUCCGUGAUGGAUGCCCCCUCCGACGGAGCUCCGGAACAGGCCCCAAGAUGGGAUCUCGUGGAUACAGGAAGUUACGGUGGUGGAAUUAGGGUUUUGGCUCUAUGUCUGAUUGUUUGGGUGUACGUAGGUAUAUAUAGGAGGAAGGAGUACGUCGAUGGAGCAACAGGGGGCCCACGAGGGUGGAGGGCGCGCCUGGGGGGGGGGGUAGGUGCGCCCCCUACCUCGUGGCCUCCUCCUUUGUUUCUUGAUGUAGGGUCCAAGUCUCCUGGAUCAUAUUCGUGUUGGGGAACGUUGCAGAAAACAAAAAAUUUCCUACUCGUUUCACCAAGAUCAUCUAGGAGUUCAUCUAGCAACGAGUGAUUAGAUGCAUCUACAUACCUUUGUAGAUCGCGAGCGGAAGCGUUCAAAAGAACGGUGAUGAUGUAGUCGUACUCGACGUGAUCCAAAUCACCGAUGACCAGCGCCGAACGGACGGCACCUCCGCGUUCAACACACGUACGGAACAGCCACGUCUCCUCCUUCUUGAUCCAGCAAGGGAGGGAGGAGAGGUUGAGGGAGAUGGCACCAGCAGCAGCACGACGGCGUGGUGUUGAUGGAGCUGCAGUACUCCGGCAGAGCUUCGCUAAGCACUAUGGAGGUGGAGGAGGUGUUGGGGAGGGAGAAGGAGGCAACCAAAGGCCGAGGCGUUCAGGUAUGAAGUCCCUCCUCUCCCCCACUAUAUAUAGGGGUGCCAAGGGGGGGUGGCCGGCCCUAGGAGAUCCAAUCUCCUAGGGGGUGCGGCGGCCUAGGGGGGUUUCCCUCCCCCCCAAGGCACCUAGGAGGUGCCUUACCCUCCUAGGACUCUUCCCCCCUUAAACCCUAGGCGCAUGGGCCUAUGUGGGACUGGUGCCCUUGGCCCAUUAGGCCAAGGCGCACCCCCUUACAGCCCAUGUGGCCCCCCGGGACAGGUGGACCCCCGGGACCCUUCCGGUGGUCCCGGUACAAUACCGAUAACCCCGAAACUUGUCCCGAUGCCCGAAACAGGACUUCCCAUAUAUAAAUCUUUACCUCCGGACCAUUCCGGAACUCCUCGUGACGUCGGGGAUCUCAUCCGGGACUCCGAACAACAUUCGGGUUACUGCAUAUACAUAUCCCUACAACCCUAGCGUAACCGAACCUUAAGUGUGUAGACCCUACGGGUUCGGGAGACAAGCAGACAUGACCGAGACGACUCUCCGGUCAAUAACCAACAGCGGGAUCUGGAUACCCAUGUUGGCUCCCACAUGCUCCACGAUGAUCUCAUCGGAUGAACCACGAUGUCGAGGAUUCAAUCAACCCCGUACACUAUUCCCUUUGUCCAUCGAUAUGUUACUUGCCCGAGAUUCGAUCGUCGGUAUCCCAAUACCUCGUUCAAUCUCGUUACCGGCAAGUCACUUUACUCGUACCGUAAUGCAUGAUCCCGUGACCAGACACUUGGUCACUCUGAGCUCAUUAUGAUGAUGCAUUACCGAGUGGGCCCAGUGAUACCUCUCCGUCAUACGGAGUGAAAAAUCCCAGUCUUGAUCCAUGUCACCCAACAGACACUUUCGGAGAUACCCGUAGUCUACCUUUAUAGUCACCCAGUUAUGUUGUGACGUUUGGCAUACCCAAAGCACUCCUACGGUAUCCGGGAGUUACACGAUCUCAUGGUCUAAGGAAAAGAUACUUUGACAUUGCAAAACUCUAGCAAACGAACUAUACGAUCUUGUGCUAUGUUUAGGAUUGGGUCUUGUCCAUCACAUCAUUCUCCUAAUGAUGUGAUCUCGUUAUCAAUGACAUCCAGUGUCCAUAGUCAGGAAAUCAUGACUAUCUGUUGAUCAACGAGCUAGUCAACUAGAGGCUCACUAGGGACAUGUUGAUGUCUGUUAUUCACACAUGUAUUACGAUUUCCAGAUAACACAAUUAUAGCAUGAAUAAAGACAAUUAUCAUGAACAAGGAAAUAUAAUAAUAAUGCUUUUAUUAUUGCCUCUAGGGCAUAUUUCCAACAGUCUCCCACUUGCACUAGAGUCAAUAAUCUAGUUACAUUGCGAUGAAUCGAACACCCAUGGAAUUCUGGUGUUGAUCAUGUUUUGCUCUAGGGAGAGGUUUAGUCAACGGAUCUGCUACAUUCAGGUCCGUAUGUACUUUACAAAUCUCUAUGUCUCCAUCUUGAACAUUUUCACGAAUGGAGUUGAAGUGACGCUUGAUGUGCCUUGUCUUCUUGUGAAACCUGGGCUCCUUGGCAAGUGCAAUAGCUCCAGUGUUGUCACAGAAGAGCUUGAUCGGCCCCGACGCAUUGGGUAUGACUCCUAGGUCGGUGAUGAACUCCUUCACCCAUAUUGCUUCAUGUGCUGCCUCCGAGGCUGCCAUGUACUCCGCUUCACAUGUAGAUCCCGCCACGACGCUUUGCUUGCAACUGCACCAGCUCACUGCCCCACCAUUCAAAAUAUACACGUAUCCGGUUUGUGACUUAGAGUCAUCCAGAUCUGUGUCGAAGCUAGCAUCGACGUAACCCUUUACGACGAGCUCUUCGUCACCUCCAUAAACGAGAAACAUUUCCUUAGUCCUUUUCAGGUACUUCAGGAUAUUCUUGACCGCUGUCCAGUGUUCCUUGCCGGGAUUACUUUGGUACCUUCCUACCAAACUUACGGCAAGGUUUACAUCAGGUCUGGUACACAGCAUGGCAUACAUAAUAGAACCUAUGGCUGAGGCAUAGGGGAUGACGCUCAUCUCUUCUAUAUCUUCUCCCGUGGUUGGACAUUGAGCUGAGCUCAAUUUCACACCUUGCAACACAGGCAAGAACCCCUUCUUGGAUUGAUCCAUAUUGAACUUCUUCAAUAUCUUAUCAAGGUAUGUGCUUUGUGAAAGACCUAUGAGGCGUCUUGAUCUAUCUCUAUAGAUUUUGAUGCCUAAUAUAUAAGCAGCUUCUCCAAGGUCCUUCAUUGAAAAACUUUUAUUCAAGUAGGCCUUGAUGCUGUCCAAGAGUUCUAUAUCAUUUCCCAUCAAAAGUAUGUCAUCUACAUAUAAUAUGAGAAAUGCUACAGAGCUCCCACUCACUUUCUUGUAAACGCAGGCUUCUCCAUAAGUCUGUGUAAACCCAAACGCUUUGAUCAUCUCAUCAAAGCGAAUGUUCCAACUCCGAGAUGCUUGCACCAGCCCAUAAAUCGAGCGUUGGAGCUUGCACACUUUGUCAGCAUUCUUAGGAUCGACAAAACCUUCCGGCUGUAUCAUAUACAAUUCUUCCUUAAGGAAACCAUUAAGGAAUGCCGUUUUGACGUCCAUUUGCCAUAUUUCGUAAUCAUAGAAUGCGGCAAUUGCUAACAUGAUUCGGACGGACUUCAGCUUCGCUACCGACGAGAAAGUCUCAUCGUAGUCAACCCCUUGAACUUGUCGAUAACCCUUAGCGACAAGCCGAGCUUUAUAGAUGGUCACAUUACCAUCCGCGUCUGUCUUCUUCUUAAAGAUCCAUUUAUUUUCUAUGGCUCCCCGCUCAACGGGCAAGUCAGUCAAAGUACAUACUUUGUUUUCAUACAUGGAUCCUAUCUCGGAUUUCAUGGCUUCCAGCCAUUUGUCGGAAUCCGGGCCCGCCAUCGCUUCUUCAUAGUUCGAAGGUUCACCGUUGUCUAACAGCAUGAUUUCCAAGACAGGGUUGCCGUACCACUCUGGUGCGGAACGUGUCCUUGUGGACCUUCGAAUUUCAGUAGGGGCUUGAUCAGAAGUAUCUUGAUCAUUGUCAUUAACUUCCUCUCUAGUCGGUGCAGGCACCUCAGGAACAUUUUCUUGAGUUGCGCCAUUUUCCGGUUCAAGAGGUAAUACUUCAUCAAGCUCUACUUUCCUCCCACUUACUUCUUUCGAGAGAAACUCUUUCUCCAGAAAGGACCCAUUCUUGGCAACAAAGAUCUUGCCUUCGGAUCUGAGGUAGAAGGUGUACCCAAUAGUUUCUUUUGGGUAUCCUAUGAAGACGCAUUUUUCCGAUUUGGGUUCGAGCUUUUCAGGUUGAAGUUUCUUGACAUAAGCAUCGCAUCCCCAAACUUUUAGAAACGACAGCUUAGGUUUCUUCCCAAACCAUAAUUCAUACGGUGUCGUCUUAACGGAUUUCGACGGGGCCCUAUUUAAAGUGAAUGCGGCAGUCUCUAAAGCAUAGCCCCAGAAGGAAAGCGGUAAAUCGGUAAGAGACAUCAUAGAUCGCACCAUAUCCAACAGAGUGCGAUUACGACGUUCGGACACACCAUUACGCUGAGGUGUUCCAGGCGGCGUGAGUUGUGAAACUAUUCCACAUUUUCUUAAGUGUGCCCCAAACUCGUGACUCAAGUAUUCUCCUCCACGAUCUGAUCGUAGAAACUUGAUUUUCCUGUCACGUUGAUUUUCAACCUCACUCUGAAAUUCCUUGAACUUUUCAAAGGUUUCAGACUUGUGUUUCAUUAAGUAGAUAUACCCAUACCUACUUAAAUCAUCAGUGAGGGUGAGAACAUAACGAUAGCCACCGCGAGCCUCAACACUCAUCGGACCGCACACAUCAGUAUGUAUGAUUUCCAAUAAGUCGGUUGCUCGCUCCAUUGUUCCUAAGAACGGAGUCUUGGUCAUUUUACCCAUAAGGCAUGGUUCGCACGUGUCAAAUGAUUCAUAAUCAAGAGACUCUAAAAGUCCAUCAGCAUGGAGCUUCUUCAUGCGUUUAACACCUAUGUGACCAAGGCGGCAGUGCCACAAGUAUGUGGGACUAUCAUUAUCAACCUUACUUCUUUUGGUACUCACAUUAUGAAUAUGUGUAGCAUCACGUUCGAGAUUCAUAAGGAAUAAACCAUUCACCAUAGGAGCAUGACCAUAAAACAUAUCUCUCAUAAAAAUGGAACAACCAUUAUUCUCAGAUUUAAAAGAGUAGCCAUCUCGAAUUAAACGAGAUCCCGAUACAAUGUUCAUGCUCAAAGCUGGCACUAAAUAACAAUUAUUAAGGUUUAAAACUAAUCCCGAAGGGAGAUGCAGAGGUAGCGUGCCGACGGCGAUCACAUUGACCUUGGAACCAUUCCCGACGUGCAUCGUCACCUCGUCCUUUGCCAGUUUCCGCUUAUUCCGCAGCCCCUGCUUUGAGUUACAAAUGUGAGCAACUGCACCGGUAUCAAAUACCCAGGAGCUACUAUGGGCACUAGUAAGGUACACAUCAAUUACAUGUAUAUCACAUAUACCUUUUGUUUUGCCGGCCUUCUUAUCCGCUAAGUACUUAGGGCAGUUCCGCUUCCAGUGACCGCUUCCCUUGCAAUAAAAGCACUCAGUCUCGGGCUUGGGUCCAUUCUUUGGCUUCUUCCCAGCAGCUUGCUUGCCGGGUGCGGCAACCUCCUUGCCGUCCUUCUUGAAGUUCUUUUUACCCUUGCCUUUCUUGAACUUAGUGGUUUUAUUGACCAUCAACACUUGAUGUUCCUUUCUGACUUCUACCUCUGCUGAUUUCAGCAUAGCAAAUACUUCAGGAAUGGUCUUUUCCAUCCCCUGCAUAUUGAAGUUCAUCACAAAGCUCUUGUAGCUUGGUGGAAGCGACUGGAGGAUUCUGUCAAUGACCGCAUCAUCCGGGAGAUUAACUCCCAGCUGAGUCAAGCGGUUAUGCAACCUAGACAUAGUGAGUAUGUGCUCACUGACAGAACUGUUUUCCUCCAUCUUACAGCUAAAGAAUUUGUCGGAGACUUCAUAUCUCUCGACCCGGGCAUGAGCUUGGAAAACCAUUUUCAGCUCUUCGAACAUCUCAUAUGCUCCAUGUCUCUCAAAACGCUUUUGGAGCCCCGGCUCUAGGCUGUAAAGCAUGCCGCACUGAACGAGGGAGUAGUCAUCGAAACGUGCCUGCCAAGCGUUCAUAACAUCUUGUUCUGCAGGGAGAACGGGUGCGUCACCAAGCGGUGCUUGUAGGACAUAAUCUUUCUUGGCAGCUAUGAGGAUGAUCCUCAGGUUCCGGACCCAGUCCGUAUAGUUGCUGCCAUCGUCUUUCAGCUUAGUUUUCUCUAGGAACGCGUUGAAGUUGAGGACUACGUUGGCCAUUUGAUCUACAAGACAUAUUGCAAAGAUUUUAGACUAAGUUCAUGAUAAUUAAGUUCAACUAAUCAAAUUAUUAGUGAACUCCCACUUAGAUUUAGACAUCCCUCUGGUCAUCUAAGUAUUACAUGAUCCAAGUUAAACUAGACCGUGUCCGAUCAUCACGUGAGACGGACUAGUCAACAUCGGUGAACAUCUUCAUGUUGAUCGUAUCUUCUAUACGACUCAUGCUCGACCUUUCGGUCUUCUGUGUUCCGAGGCCAUGUCUGUACAUGCUAGGCUCGUCAAGUCAACCUAAGUGUUUGCAUGUGUAAAUCUGUCUUACACCCGUUGUAUGUGAACGUCUGAAUAAAACACCUGAUCAUCACGUGGUGUUUUGAAACAGCGAACUGUCGCAACGGUGCACAGUUAGGGGGAACACUUCUUGAAAUUAUUGUGAGGGAUCAUCUUAUUUACUACCGUCGUUCUAAGUAAACAAGAUGCAAAACAUGAUAAACAUCACAUGCAAUCAAAUAAUAAACGUGACAUGAUAUGGCCAAUAUCACAUAGCUCCUUUGAUCUCCAUCUUGGGGCUCCAUGAUCAUCUUGUCACCGGCUUGACACCAUGAUCUCCAUCAUCAUGAUCUCCAUCAUCGUGUCUCCAUGAAGUUGCUCGCCAACUAUUACUUCUACUACUAUGGCUAACGCGUUUAGCAAUAAAGUAAAGUAAUUUACAUGGCGUUUCUUGAUGACACGCAGGUAAUAUAAAAGAAUAAAGACAACUCCUAUGGCUCCUGCCGGUUGUCAUACUCAUCGACAUGCAAGUCGUGAAUCCUAUUACAAUAGCAUGAACAUCUCAUACAUCACAUAUAGAUCAUUCAUCAUUCAUCACAACUUUGGCCAUAUCAUAUCACAAACCACUUGCUGCAAAAACAAGUUAGACGUCCUCUAAUUGUUGUUGCAAGUUUUACGUGGCUGAAUUAGGGUUCUAGCAAGAACGUUUUCUUACCUACGUUAAAGCCACAACGUGAUUUGUCAACUUCUAUUUACCCUUCAUAAGGACCCUGUUCAUCGAUUCCGCUCCAACUAAAGUAGGAGAGACAGACACCCGCCAGCCACCUUAUGCAACUAGUGCAUGUUAGUCGGUGGAACCGGUCUCACGUAAGCGUACGUGUAAGGUUGGUCCGGGCCGCUUCAUCCCACAAUACCGCUUAAGCAAGAAAGGACUAGUAACGGCAAGAAAGUUGACAAAUCUACGCCCACAAUAAAUUGUGUUCUACUCGCGCAAGAAGAACUACGCAUAGACCUAGCUCAUGAUGCCACUGUUGGGGAACGUUGCAGAAAACAAAAAAUUUCCUACUCGUUUCACCAAGAUCAUCUAGGAGUUCAUCUAGCAACGAGUGAUUAGAUGCAUCUACAUACCUUUGUAGAUCGCGAGCGGAAGCGUUCAAAAGAAUGGUGAUGAUGUAGUCGUACUCGACGUGAUCCAAAUCACCGAUGACCAGCGCCGAACGGACGGCACCUCCGCGUUCAACACACGUACGGAACAGCCACGUCUCCUCCUUCUUGAUCCAGCAAGGGAGGGAGGAGAGGUUGAGGGAGAUGGCACCAGCAGCAGCACGACGGCGUGGUGUUGAUGGAGCUGCAGUACUCCGGCAGAGCUUCGCUAAGCACUAUGGAGGUGGAGGAGGUGUUGGGGAGGGAGAAGGAGGCAACCAAAGGCCGAGGCGUUCAGGUAUGAAGUCCCUCCUCUCCCCCACUAUAUAUAGGGGUGCCAAGGGGGGGUGGCCGGCCCUAGGAGAUCCAAUCUCCUAGGGGGUGCGGCGGCCUAGGGGGGUUUCCCUCCCCCCCAAGGCACCUAGGAGGUGCCUUACCCUCCUAGGACUCUUCCCCCCUUAAACCCUAGGCGCAUGGGCCUAUGUGGGGCUGGUUCCCUUGGCCCAUUAGGCCAAGGCGCACCCCCUUACAGCCCAUGUGGCCCCCCGGGACAGGUGGACCCACCCGGUGGACCCCCGGGACCCUUCCGGUGGUCCCGGUACAAUACCGAUAACCCCGAAACUUGUCCCGAUGCCCGAAACAGGACUUCCCAUAUAUAAAUCUUUACCUCCGGACCAUUCCGGAACUCCUCGUGACGUCCGGGAUCUCAUCCGGGACUCCGAACAACAUUCAGGUUACUGCAUAUACAUAUCCCUACAACCCUAGCGUAACCGAACCUUAAGUGUGUAGACCCUACGGGUUCGGGAGACAAGCAGACAUGACCGAGACGACUCUCCGGUCAAUAACCAACAGCGGGAUCUGGAUACCCAUGUUGGCUCCCACAUGCUCCACGAUGAUCUCAUCGGAUGAACCACGAUGUCGAGGAUUCAAUCAACCCCGUACACUAUUCCCUUUGUCCAUCGAUAUGUUACUUGCCCGAGAUUCGAUCGUCGGUAUCCCAAUACCUCGUUCAAUCUCGUUACCGGCAAGUCACUUUACUCGUACCGUAAUGCAUGAUCCCGUGACCAGACACUUGGUCACUCUGAGCUCAUUAUGAUGAUGCAUUACCGAGUGGGCCCAGUGAUACCUCUCCGUCAUACGGAGUGAAAAAUCCCAGUCUUGAUCCAUGUCACCCAACAGACACUUUCGGAGAUACCCGUAGUCUACCUUUAUAGUCACCCAGUUAUGUUGUGACGUUUGGCAUACCCAAAGCACUCCUACGGUAUCCGGGAGUUACACGAUCUCAUGGUCUAAGGAAAAGAUACUUUGACAUUGCAAAACUCUAGCAAACGAACUAUACGAUCUUGUGCUAUGUUUAGGAUUGGGUCUUGUCCAUCACAUCAUUCUCCUAAUGAUGUGAUCUCGUUAUCAAUGACAUCCAGUGUCCAUAGUCAGGAAAUCAUGACUAUCUGUUGAUCAACGAGCUAGUCAACUAGAGGCUCACUAGGGACAUGUUGAUGUCUGUUAUUCACACAUGUAUUACGAUUUCCAGAUAACACAAUUAUAGCAUGAAUAAAGACAAUUAUCAUGAACAAGGAAAUAUAAUAAUAAUGCUUUUAUUAUUGCCUCUAGGGCAUAUUUCCAACAAUUCGGUGAGAAAAUCACGUUCCCAAAGGUUUCAUUCCGUUUGGACUCCGUUUGAUAUUCCUUUUCUUCGAAACCCUAAAAUAAGCAAAAAAAAAAUAGCAAUUCUGGGUUGUGCCUCUGGUUAAUAGGUUAGUCCCAAAAAUAAUAUAAAAGUGGAUAAUAAAGCCCAAUAAUGUCCAAAACAGUAGAUAAUAUAGCAUGGAGCAAUCAAAAAUUAUAGAUAUGAUGGAGACAUAUCACCCCUACUGUGACUGGGAAAGGACACUGCAAGAUUGAAUCCAAAGCUAAGCACUUCCCCCAUUGCAACAAAGAUCAAUCUAGUAGGCCAAACUAAACCGAUUAUUCGAAGAGACUUGCGAAGAUAUCAAAUCAUGCAUAUAAGAAUUCAAAGAAGAACCAAAUAUUAUUCAUAGAUAAACUUGAUCAUAAAUCCAGAAUUCGUCGAAUCUCGGCAAACACACCGCAAAAAGUAUUACAUCGAAUAGAUCUCAUGGGUACAGAAGGUUUCGGUGGUGGAAAAGUGGUUUCGUGGCUCCCCCUGAUGUUUUUAGGGUAUAAGAGUAUAUAUAGGCGAAAGAAGUACGUCGGUGGAGCUCCAUGGGGCCCAUAAGGGUGGGGGCGCGCCCUCCUAUCUCGUGGAAGCCUCGCGGAGUUCCAGAAUUCCACUCCAAGUCUCCUAUUUGUGUUUGUUCCAAGAAAGAUCCUCGCGAAGGUUUCAUUCCGUUUGGUUUCCGUUUGAUAUUCCUUUUCUUCGAAACACUAAAAUAGGCAAAAAAAACAGAAGUUGGCACUGGGCCUCCGGUUAAUAGGUUAGUCCCAAAAAUAAUAUAGAAGAGCAUAUUAAAGCCCAUUAAACAUCCAAAACAGAUAAUAUAAUAGCAUGGAACAAUCAAAAAUUAUAUAUAAGUUGAGACGUAUCAGGGGCCCAUGGGGGUCUCCUCCACCGCCUCUUCGCUCUACCCCAAUAUUCCAGAAACCCUAGGGGAGUUGACGGAACACAAUUCUAGCCGCUGCAAGUUCGAGAACCACGAGCCAUCUAGAGCCCUAUUCCGGCACUCUACCGGAGGGGUUCAUCAUCCUCAUUGGUGCUCCUCUAAUGAUGCAUGAGUAGUUCACCAUAUACCUACGGGUCCUAGGCAGUAGCUAGAUGGCUUCUUAUCUCUUUUUGAUUCUCAAUACAAUGUUCUCCUCGUUCUUGUUGGAGAUCUAUUUGAUGUAAUGACUUUUUGCGGUGUGUUUGUUGGGAUCCGAUGAAGUUCGAGUUUAUGAUGAGAUCUAUAUCCAUGAAUAUUAUUUGAGUUUUAUUUGAUCUCUUAUAUGCAUGAUUAUUUAUAGCCUCGUAUUUCUUCUCCAAAUCUUUAGUUUAGUUAGGCCAACUAGAUCGAUUUUCUUGCCAUGGGAAGAGAUGUUUUGUGAUGGGUUCGAUCUUGUGGUGUCCUCACACAGUAACGGAAGGGGUAGGAAGGCACGUAUGUGUCAUUGCUAUUAAGGAUAAAAAGAUGCGGUCUAUUCCGACAGGAAUAGAUCUUGUCUACAUCAUGUAAUUGUUCUUAUUGCAUUACUUCGUUUCUCCAUGAACUUAAUACACUAGAUGCAUGCUACAUAGCGGUCGAUGUGUGGAGUAAUAGUAGUAGAUGCAGAAUCGUUUCAGUCUACUAAUCUUGGAUGUGAUGCCUAUAUACAUGAUCAUUGCCUUGGAUAUCGUCAUAAUUAUUUGAUCUUCUAUCAAUUGCCCAAUAGUAAUUUGUUUACUGCUACUUCUUGAGCUUGCGUUGGUUUUUCCCUUGAAGACGAAAGAGUGAUGCAGCAAAGUAGAGAUAAGUAUUUCCCUCAGUUAGAGAACCAAGGUAUCAAUCCAAUAGGAGGUACAAGCAAGUCCCCAAUCUAUGCACCUGCACAAACAAUCAAACACUUGCACCCAACGCGAUAAAGGGGUUGUCAAUCCCUUCACGGUCAAUUGCAAAAGUGAGAUAUGAUAGGGAUAGAUAAAACUAAAUAAAAGAUAACUAAAUAUUUUUGGUUUAUAGAUCUGAAAAUAAAAGAUUGCAAAAUAGUAGAUAAGAAACAAAUAUGAUAGAAAAUAGACCCAGGGGCCACAGGUUUCACUGGAGGCUUCUCUCAUGAAGGCAAAUAAUACGGUGGGUGGACAAAUUACUGUUGAGCAAUUGAUAGAAUAGCACAAAGUUAUGAUGAUAUCCAAGGCAAUGAUUUUGCACAUAGGAACCACGUCUGUGUCAAGUACACUGACUCCUGCCUACAUCUACUACUAUUACUCCACACAUGGACAGCUAUCCAGCAUGCAUCUAGAGUAUUAAGUUCAUUAAGAACGGAGUAAUGCCUUAAGUAAGAUGACAUGAUGUAGAUGGAUAAACUCAAGCAAUAUGAUGAAAACCCCAUCUUUUUAUCCUUGAUGGCAACAAUACAAUACGUGUCUCGCCACCCCUACUUUGUCACUGGGUGAAAUCACGCAAGAUUGAACCCAAAACUGAGCACCUCUCCCAUUGCAAGAAAUACCAAUCUAGUUGGCCAAACCAAACCGAUAAUUCAGAGAGAAAUACAAAGAUAUCAACUCAUGCAUAUAAGAAUUCAGAGAAGAUUCAAAUAAUAUUCAUAGAUAAUCUGAUCAUAAAUCCACAAUUCAUCGGAUCUCGACAAGCAAAACCGCAAAAGAAGAUUACAUCAGAUAGAUCUCCAAGAACAUCGAGGAGAACAUGGUAUUGAGAAUCAAAGAGAGAUAAGAAGUUAUCUAGCUACUAGCUAUUGACCCGUAGGUCUGACGUAAACUACUCACGCUUCAUCGGAAGGACAAUAGGGUUGAUGUAGAAGCCCUCCGUGAUUGAAUCCCCCUCCGGCAGAUCCUUGGAAAAGGCCCCAAGAUGGGAUCUCACGGGUAUAGAAGGUUGCAGCGGUGGAAAAGUAUUUUCGUGGCUUCCUCUGAGGGUUUUGGAAUAUAUGUGAAUUUAUAGGACGAACAAGUAGGCCAGGGGACUCCCGAUGGGGGGCACAAGGUAGGGGGCGCCCCCAAGGGUGCGCCCUCCACCCUUCUGCCGCCUUGUGGGUCUCCUGACUUGGAGUCCAAGUCCUACGGGUGUCUUCUCGUCCAAGACAAAUCAUCGCAAAGUUUUAUUCCGUUUGGUGUCCGUUUGAUAUUCCUCUUUUGCGAAACUCAAAAACAAGAAAAAAACAGAAACUCGCAUUGGGCUCUAGGUUAAUAAGUUAGUCCCAAAGUAAUAUAAAAAUAGCAUAUUAAUGCAUAUAAAACAUCCAGAACAGAUAAUAUUAUAUCAUGGAACAAUCAAAAAUUAUAGAUAUGUUGGAGAUUUAUCACUUCCCACCGUAUGCUAUUUUCUCGAGAGAAGCCACUAGUGAAAUCUACGGCCCCUGGGUCUAUCUUUUAUCAUAUUGUUUUCAGAUCUAUAUUUCCAAAAACCCAAAAAUACCUUGCUGCACUUUUAUUUACUUGUUUUAUUUUGUGUUCUUGCUAGAUCUAUUUCCAACCUCAUACAAUUUAAUCUAUCUUUUUACCAUGGAGGGAUUGAAAACCCCUCUUACGUGUCGUGUUGCAAGUAUUUGUUCUUUGUGUGCAGGUACUAUUUACAUAGUGUUGCUUGGUUCUCCUACUGGAUUGAUAACCUUGGUUUCAUAACUGAGGGAAAUACCUACCGUAGCUGUACUGCAUCAUCCCUUCCUCUUUGGGGAAAUACCGACGCAGUUUCAAGCCACAUCAAUCACUCCUGAUUAUCUCUUUGCAUUGUAUCUAUUGAAAUUUCUUUUUGCCAAGCUCGACAUGUACGACCCGACCAUACGAAAUAUAGAAAGUUGCGCCCUUCAAGGUUUUUUAGCAUUUCUUUAUAAUUACUAUCUCUGAGCCGAAAGAAUACUUCAUCAUACAAAGGGCUUCACUUCUAAUCACACACCCCAAACUACAAGUCCGAGGUACUGGGCGUCUUGGAUAUUUGCAUUAUAUGAAUCAAGUUUCGAACCUAGAUUUUGGUCAAUAGUUGGGUUGCCCGGCUCUAUGUGUACCCUUACAUUUCCGAUCAAUUCGGCUAAGGGUGUAAUGGGAGAACCACUACGAUAGUGUCACCAACUCGCAUGGCAGAGCGACUUAGUGGAGAGAGCCGAAAACUGACUUUCUUGGUAAGCGUAGACCGCCCCACCAUCCAAUGACCGCAUUAAAGUGAUGUGUCGUUAGAGAUUACCCAUGUUAAAUGAAGGGCGUCUUCCUUGCAUUGGCUGAAGUGGUUAGUGGCAUCGACCUCGGUACUUAAGCCGACCACUUCACACACCCUGGGGCUCGUCAUCGUCCCCCACAGUCAAACUCCUAUGACUAAGUGAAGGUUACAAAGCCAUAAUAGUUUGAUUGCCUAGUUCCUAUGAGCAUGGACCACCCAUGGGUACUGAGACGUCGACUAAGCCAACCACUUCAUUUAAACAAAAAGAUAGUUUUUACAUCGUACACUUCGGCAACCCGAAGAACUGUCUAAAAAUACAAAGUCUCCUUGAGACACUUGGUAUCGAUAAUCUGAGCCCCUUCCUCCACCGCGGCCAGGAACUGCUCCGGGGUCCAAUUUUUUCCUUCGGGGGGUCCCGCGGCCACGAACUCUAUGUCGACAAGACGAAAAUGUGUCUACACACUAAUGACUGCUACCUCUUGAGCAUGUGUUGGUUUUCCCUUGAAGAGGAAAAGGUGAUGCAGCAAAGUAGCAUAAGUAUUUCCCUCAGUUUUUGAGAACCAAGGUAUCAAUCCAGUAGGAGACAACACACAAGUCACCUAAUACCUGCACAAACAAUCAAGAACCUUGCAACCAACGCAAUAAAGGGGUUGUCAAUCCCUUCACACUCACUCGCAAAAUUGAGAUCUGAUAAAAAUAGUAAGAUAAAUAUUUUUGGUAUUUAUUUGUAUAGAUUGGAAAGUAAAGAUUGCAAUAUAGUAAAUGAGAUGCGACGUAAAUAAAAGAGAUGCAAUAUAAUAAGGAAGAGACCCAGGGGCCAUAGGUUUCACUAGUGGCUUCUCUCAAGAUAGCAUGUAUUACGGUGGGUGAACAAAUUACUCUCGAGCAAUUGAUAGAAAAGCGCAUAGUUAUGAAGAUAUCUAAGGAAACGAACAUGAAUAUAGGCAUCACGUCCGUAUCAAGUAGACCGAAAUGAUUCUGCAUCUACUACUAUUACUCCACACAUCGACCGCUAUCCACCAUGCAUCUAGAGUAUUAAGUUCAUAAGAACAGAGUAACGCUUUAAGCGAGAUGACAUGAUGUAGAGGGAUAAACUCAAGCAAUAUGAUAUAAACCCCAUAUUUUUAUCCUUGAUGGCAACAAUACAAUACGCGCCUUGCUACCCCUACUGUCACUGGGAAAGGACAACGCAAGAUUGAACCCAAAGCUAAGCACUUCUCCCAUUGCAAGAAAGAUCAAUCUAGUAGGCCAAACUAAACCGAUAAUUCGAAGAGACUUGCAAAGAUAUCAAAUCAUGCAUAUAAGAAUUCAGAUAAGAACCAAAUAAUAUUCAUAGAUAAUUAAGUUCAUAAAUCCACAAUUCAUCGGAUCUCGGCAAUCACACCGCUAAAGUGUAUUACAUCGAAUAGAUCUCCAAGAACAUUGGGGAGAACUUUGUAUUGAAGAUCAACGAGAGAGAAGAAGCCAUCUAGCUAAUAACUAUGGACCUGAAGGUAUGUGGUAAACUACUCACGCUUCAUUGGAGAGGCUAUGGUGUUGAUGUAGAAGCCCUCCGUGAUUGAUUCCCCCUCCGGUAGAUCGUCGGAAAAGGCCCCAAGAUGGGAUCUCACGGGUACAGAAGGUUGCGGCGGUGGAAAAGUGGUUUCGUGGCUCCCCCUGAUGUUUCUAGUGUAUAAGAGUAUAUAUAGGCGAAAGAAGUACGUCGGUGGAGCUACGUGGGUCCCACGAGUGUGGGGGCGCACCUACCCCCCUAGGCACGCCCUCCUGCCUCAUGGCCGCCUCACGGAAUUCCAGACUUCAACUCCAAGUCUUCUGGAUUGCUUUCGGUCCAGGAAAGAUCAUCGCGAAGGUUUCAUUCCGUUUGGUAUUCCUUUUCGGUGAUACUGUAAAAUAGGCCAAAAAACAGAAACUGGCAAUGGGCCUCCGGUAAAUAGGUUAGUCCCCAAAAUAAUAUAAAAGAGCAUAUUAAAGCUCAUUAAACAUCCAAAAUAGAUAAUAUAAUAGCAUGGAGCAAUCAAAAAUUAUAGAUACAUUGGAGACGUAUCGAGCAUCCCCAAGCUUCAUUCCUUCUCGUCCUCGAGUAGAUAAAUGAUAAAAACAAAAAAUUUGAUGUGGAAUUCUACACAUAUUUAUCAAUGUAAGUUUCUUUAUUGUGGCAUGAAUGUUCAAACCCAAAAGAUUCAAGACAAAUAUCGACAUAAAAUAAUAAUACUUCAAGCAUACUAACAAAGUAAUUAUGUCUUCUCAAAAUAACAUGGCCAAAGAAAGUUCAUCCCUACAAAAUCAUAUAGUUUGGUUAUGCUCCAUCUUCGUCACACAAAAUAUUGAAAUCAUGCACAACCCCGAUGACAAGCCAAGAAAUUGUUUCAUACUUUAGCAUUCUCAAACUUUUUCAACUUUCACGCAAUACAUGAGCGUGAGCCAUGGACAUAGAAUUAUAGGUGGAAUAGAGUGGUUGUUGUGGAGAAGACAAAAAGGGGGAAGAUGGUCUCACAUCAACUAGGCGUAUCAAUGGGCUAUGUAGAUACCCAUCAAUAGAUAUCAAUGUGAGUGAGUAGGGAUUGCCAUGCAACAGAUGCACUAGAGCUAUAAAUGUAUGAAAGCUCAACAAAAGAAACUAAGUGGGUGUGCAUCCAACUUGCUUCCUCACGAAGACCUAGGGCAUUUGAGGAAGCCCAUCGUUGGAAUAUACAAGCCAAGUUCUAUAAUGAAACUUUCCCACUAGUAUAUGAAAGUGACAAAAUAAGAGACUCUCUAUCAUGAAGAUCAUGGUGCUAGUUUGAAGCACAAGUGUGGAAAAAGGAUAGUAGCAUUGUCCCUUCUCUCUUUUUCUCUCCCUUUUUUGUUUGGCUUCUUUGGCCUCUUUUUCUCCUUUUUUUUUGUUUCCUCACAUGGGACAAUGCUCUAAUAAUGAUGAUCAUCACACUUCUAUUUAUUUACAACUCAAAGAUUACAACUCGAUACUUAGAACAAAAAUAUGACUCUAUAUGCGUGCCUCCGGCGGUGUACCGAGAUGUGCAAUGAAUCAAGAGUGACAUGUAUGAAAAUAUUAUGAAUGGUGGCUUUGCCACAAAUACGAUGUUAACUACAUGAACAUGCAAGGCAAUAUGACAAUGAUGGAGCAUGUCAUAAUAAACAGAAUGGUGGAAGGUUGCAUGACAAUAUAUCUCGGAAUGGCUAUGGAAAUGCCAUAAUAGGUAGGUUUGGUGGCUAUUUUUAGGAAGGUAAAUGGUAGGUUUAUGGUACCGGCGAAAGCUGCGCGGUACUAGAGAGGCUAGCAACGAUGGAAGGGUGAGAGUGCGUAUAAUCCAUGGACUCAACAUUAGUCAUGAAGAACUCACAUGAUUAUUAUAAAAAUCUAUAGGUCAUCAAAAACCAAGCACUAUGCACAUGCUCCUAGUGGGAUAGAUUGGUAGGAAAAGACCAUCGCUUGUCCCCGACCGCCACCCAUAAGGUAGACCAUCAAACUCAUGCUUCAAAUUUGUUACACAACUGUUACCAUACGUGCAUGCUACGGGACUUGCAAACCUCAACACAAGUAUUUCUCAAAUUCACAAUUAAUUUACAAGCAUGACUCUAAUAUCACCAUCCUCAUGUCUCAAAACAAUCAUCAAGCAUCAAACUUCUCAUAGUAUUCAAUGCACUUUAUAUGAAAGUUUUUAUUAUACCCAUCUUGGAUGCCUAUCAUAUUAGGACUAGUUUUAUAGCCAAAGCAAAUUACCAUGAUUUUCUAAAAGACUCCUAAAAAAAUAUAAGUGAAGCAUGAGAGAUCAAUAAUUUCUAUAAAUAAAACCACCAUCGUGCUCUAAAAAUAUAUAAGGGAAGCACUAGAGCAAAAUUAUCUAGCUAAAAAGAUAUAAGUGAAGCACAUAUAGUAUUCUAAUAAAUUCUGAUUCAUGCGUGUCUCUCCCAAAAGGUGUAUACAGCAAGGAUGAUUGUGGUAAACUAAAAAGAAAAGACUCAAAUCAUACAAGACGCUCCAAGCAAAACACCUAUCAUGUGGUGAAUAAAAAUAUAGCCUCAAGUGAAGUUACCGAUAGACGAAGACGAAAGAGGGGAUGCCUUCCGGGGAAUCCCGAAGCAUAGGCUUUUGGUUGUCCUUGAAUUUUACCUUGGGGUUCCUUGGGCAUCCCCAAUAUUAGGAUUUUGCCACUCCUUAUUCCAAAAUCCAACAAAUCUUUACCCAAAAACUUGAAAACUUCACAACAUAAAACUCAACAGAAAAUCUCAUGAGCUCCGUUAGUAUAAGAAAAUAAACCACCACUUUAAGGUACUGUAAUGAACUCAUUAUUUAUUUAUAUUGGUGUUAAUCCUACUGUAUUAUUCCAACUUCUCUAUGGCUCAUACCCCCUGAUACUAGCCAUAGAUUCAUCAAAAUAAGCAAACAACACACGAAAAACAUAAUCUGUCAAAACAGAACAGUCUAUAGCAAUCUGGAAGUUUCGAAUACUUCUGUAACUCCAAAAAUUCUGAAAGAUUAGGAUGACUAGGAAAAUUUGUAUAUUGAUCUACUUCAGUUGGAAUUGGUAUUUUAUCGCUCUCUGGUGAAAAAUGAAAAUUAUUUUCGUGAGCACAUACUUUCUGUUUUUAUCAGCAAGAUCAAAUAAUAAUCACCCGAGAAGAUCCUAAAGGCUUUACUUGGCACAAACACUAAUUAAAACGUAACACAAUCAUACGAGAGGCUAGACAAAUUAUUUAUUACUAAACAGGAACAAAAAGUAGAGAACAAAAAUAAAGUUGGGUUGCCUCCCAACAGGCGCUAUCGUUUAACGCCCCUAGCUAGGCAUAAAAGCAAGAAUAGAUCUAGGUAUUGUCAUCUUUGGUAUGAAAUCCAUAAGUGGCUCUCAUAAUAAAUUCAUAAGGCAAUUUAAUUUUCAGAUUUGCUAAAGCACGUGUAGAUGUGCUUUAGGUAUCGCACAUCUAAGUCUAUAACUGUAUGAUGUAAACGCGCUAAGAUUCAUGUUUUCGCUCGGUCGGGCCGCUCCGUCGCACGCGAACCAGUUUUUCCUGUGGGUGUGGGCUGCCAUCCCGCGUUUGGGAUUUUCUUGUGGUUGUCUGGGCUCGCGGUCUACUCUAUGGGCCUUCGUUUCUUUUUCCGAUGGGAAGGAGAGGGGGCGAUCUGCUCGCCUUAUAAUUUCGUCUCGAGAGUUCCUUCCAUCGGUCCACUCGCUCCCUAUUCAAGAAGGGCCCUAUUGGAUUUUCAAGAAAAAGAGCGUUGUUGCAGGUGACGAGAAAUCUAGUCCAUUUUUUGUUCUUUGUUCUUUUUUGUUUGUUUAUCCAUGGAUUUAGUGCAUGCACGCACCUAAAUGCGUAGAUUGAUGUUACUACUGUUAGGGCGUUUGUGUAUUUUUUGGUAGAGGGGGGAUGGGGACUCCUUUUCUUUUUGUUUUCCCCAUCAGUAUGUGUGGCAGAUUUUGGCCAGUUUGUUCAGCGAGGAUUUAACGGUGGUACGCAACUGUGAUUUUUUUUGGUUUUCAUAGUUGUCUGAGUUGCAAGUUAGCCCCUCAACUCAUCACUAUUUGUUUUUGUAGUUUUGCUCGAGUUGCAUGUCAACUUUCGGCAUGCAACUAGGAUUUUUGUGUGUGUGUAGGUUUUUGUAGUUGUCCGAGUUGCAAGUUAGCCCCUCGACUCAUCGGGAUUUUGUUUUGUAGUUUUUCUCGAGUUGCAUGUCAACACUUGACCCACAACUGGCUUCUCCUUGGGCAGUUUUUUGUAGUCGUCCUAGUUGCAAGUUAAUCCUCUAACUCGCAACUGUGUUUUCUCAAUUAGGUUUUUCGUAGGCUUGUCGAGUUUGCAUGUAAACACUUGACCCACAACUGGGCUUUUCCAUGGGCGGUUUUUUGUAGUCGUCCUAGUUGCAAGUUAAUCCUCUAACUCGCAACUGUGUUUCCUCAACUAGCUUUUCCGUAGGGUUGUCGAGUUUGCAUGUCAACACUUGACCCGCAACCGGGCUUUUCCUUUGGCAGUUUUUUACUAGUUGUCCUAGUUGCAAGUUAAUCCUCUAACUCACAACCAUGUUUCCUCAACUAGGUUUUUCGUAGGCUUGUCGAGUUGCAUGCCAACACUUGACCCGCAACUGGGCUUUUCCUUGGGCGGUUUUUUAUAGUCCUCCUAGUUGCAAGUUAAUCCUCUAACUCACAAUUGUGGUUUCCCAUAGACCUUCUAGUUGCACCCCCGACGGGGGGCCCGACCCAGCUGCAUGCCAAAUAUCACCACGCAACUAGGAUUUUUUUUGUAGGUUUUCGUAAUUGUCCGAGUUGCAAGUUAGCCCCUCGACUCGUUAGGAUUUUGUUUUUUGUAGUUUUGCUCGAGUUGCAUGUCAACACUUGACCCGCAACUGGCUUUUCCUUAGGCGGUUUUUGUAGUCGCCCGAGUUGCAAGUCAAUCCUCUAUUCGCAACCGUGGUUUCCCAUAAACCUUGUAGUUGCUCCCCAGAUGGGGGCCCCGACCCAGUUUCAUCCCAACUAUCGGCACACAACUAUGGUUUCACAUAGACCUUGUAGUUUUGCUCGAGUUUAGAUGUCAACACUUGACCCGCAACUGGCUUUUUCUUAGGUGAUUUUUGUAGUCGCCCGAGUUGCAUGUCAAUCCUCUACUCGCAACCGUGGUUUCCCAUAGACCUUGUAGUUGCGCCCCAGAAGGGGGCCCCAACCCAGUUGCAUGCCAACUAUCGGCACGCAACUAUGGUUUCCCAUAGACCUUGUAGUUGCACCUCCGAUGGAGGCCCCGAUCCAGUCGCAUGUCAAAUAUCCGGCACACAACUGGGAUGUUUUCUGUAGGUUUUCGUAGUUGUCCGAGUUGCAAGUCAGGCCCUCGACUCGUUAGGAUUUUGUUCUGUUGUUUUUCUCGAGUUGCAUGUCAACACUUGACCCGCAACUGGGCUUUUCCAUAGGUGGUUUUUGUAGUCGUCCUAGAUGCAAGUUAAUACUCUAACUCACAACUGUGUUUCCUCAACUAUGUUUUCCGUAGGCUUUUUGAGUUUGCAUGUCAACACUUGACCCGCAAAUGGGCUUUUCCUUAGGCGGUUUCUGUAGUCGCCCUAGUUGGAAUUUAAUCCUCCACUCGCAGACCUGGUUUCCCAUAGACCUUUUAGUUGGUCCCCCGACGGGGGGCCCCCAACCCAGUUGCAUGCCAACUAUCGACGCGCAACUGGAUUUUCUUUAUAGGUUUUCGUAGUUGUCCGAGUUGCAAGUCAACCCCUCGACUCGUCAGGAUUUUUUUUGUAGUUUUGCUCUAGUUUCAUGUCAACACUUAACCCCCAACUGGGCUUUUCCUUGGGCAGUUUUUGUAGUCGUCCUAGUUGCUAGUUAAUCUUCUAACUCGCAACUGUGUUUCCUCAACUAGGUUUUCUGUAGGGUUGUCGAGUUUGCAUGUCAACACUUGACCCGCAACCAGGCUUUUCCUUGGGUGCUUUUUUGUAGUUGUCCUAGUUGCAAGUUAAUCCUCUAACUCACAAGUCUGGUUUCCCAUAGACCUUGUAGUUUCACCCCUGAUGGGGGCCCCGACCCAGUUGCAUGUCAACUAUUGGCACACAACUGGGAUUUUUUUGUAGGUUUUCAUAGUUGUCCGAGUUGCAAGUUAGCCCCUCGACUCAUUUCUCCCUAGUCGGUUUGACCCCCACCAACCAAAAUCAACAAUGACAUUGUUUGAAAUCAGAGAAGAGAGAGAAGAGAGAGAGGAACACGGGAGCGCGCACCUCAAAGCAAAGGGGGAGCUUGUCGGAGGUCACCGGCCACGAGCCCCCCCUCAACGGCGCCCAGCCGAUGGAUCCCACACCCACGGGAGCACCUCCAGUGAGUGAUUCUCACUGAUUUUCUCCCCCACUGCCCUGCCUACCCCACAACGCAUUCAAGUUGUUUUCAGGGACGAAUUUCUCAAGCGUUUUCUUAUUAGGUUUUGGGGAGAUUUGGGAUUCUAAGGUCUAGUUAGAACACACACAUGUGAGAUUUGGGAUUCCUACUUCUAUUUAGAGACGUGGAGGGGAGCGAUUUUUAGUACAGAGCAACAAACGGGAAUGGGGGGGUAAGCUGAUGGUGCUGGAUGCGCUUCUAUUUUCCAUGCGCGGUUCUAUUUAUCCAAGAUGUUGAUGUGGAGGUGCUUGUGUUUCCUAAUUUUGCCUGCUACAGAUUGUUUUGUGCUGGGCUGCAGAGUUUAGGAGCAGUCAGUGAAGUUUUCCGGGCCCGCCCAAUUGUUUGGAUAGCAGAAAACGAAGCCUAGUUGUGAACGCGAAACAAGCAACAAUCCCAAAAGAAUGACAAACGACAACGACAACCGUGGGGAGGAGUACACUCACUAUAUCAGGAUGAUGACGUCAGUUUUUAGAUGUGCAAUACUUAAAGCACAUCAAGAUGUGCCCUAGACAGACCCUUUCUUUUUUUAUCACAUCGCCCCUUAUCCUUGGCUUAUUGAUUCCCAAGUUUGAUGGUUGAUUCGUAGAGAACUCAAAGACGUAUAUAAACUGAGAUGUUGCAUCUAACAAAUCAAAGUGAGACUAUUUAAUAGGUAAUACAACCUUCACUUCUAAACACAAACAUCGAGGUAGCUCAAUUGGCUGUAACAAACUUACCUUAACGAGGAGGUAGUCGGUUUAAUUCCUCAUGGGAACAAUUUUUUUUUGUAUUUUAUGCCUUGGGCUGGCUUGACUGGGCCCCACAACAUGUGCAUGCACCAAAAGACAGUAUUUUCUCCUCCUCUUACUUAAAUGGGCUAGGUUAACUGGGUCGACUUCGUAGAAAUUUUUCUUUUGAAUCACUUCAGAAAGAAUUUUAGUAUCAACACGGACAAUACAUUCUUAUCGGCUUCUCGUGUCAAACAAAAGUAAGCCAUGGUUUAAGGAAUAUUUGGUAGAUCCUGAACUUCUUCCAGUGCUCAUUGUUAAUUCAUCGCACUACACAACAUUAUUACUUGUUACAUCACACACCCUAUGAUACUUGCAACAUGUUUCUUAUUCAACACUUCCAUCGGCACAUACAAAUUCUGGGGAAUCUGAAACAAAACGCUUUGUGAAAGCUCUCCUUGUGCUCCUUGUGGCAUGCAUGAACACAUCGAUCAUAUGUGCAUAGUAAAGUAAAAUAGGUCACACUAUAGCGCUCGCAUAUCAUCUCUGCUUCCGAACCUAUGAAAUAACCACACAAUUUUGUGUACAAAAAGAAAUUCAGAUCCUAUGAUGUUCCACAAAGGAACAAGAUAAAAAGUAGUGGCAUGGAGUACAAAUUUCACAUAAGAUUAAAAAAGGUAUAAAAAGCUUUGAGGAAGUUCCUAGUUAUUCAUAUGAAAUUUUCGGACAAUGCUUACCAGCAACUAAAACUGGCAUGAGCAGGAACAGGCAUAACAAGCCUAUCAGCUUGACGUCUCCCAUGUCUCCACAAAUGAACAAUCCAAAAAGCAACUGAGACGGCAUGAAAUUGAUGCACAUGAAAAUAGGCUACACCCUAGCUUAUAG
rnacentral:lncRNA from 1 species